UCUCCGCCACUCCAUCCCCUAGGGUCAUGGAUGGCGGCCUUCUUCCUCCUUGCAUUGCAUGGGCAUGGUGUUUUGUUCUUGUCCAGCCCAUCUUACUAUUCAAGAGAUUUGAUAUUGAUUGACACGCUGUUGGUCGAAUUUUAUUAGAAGUCAGUACUAAUGCUGCAGUUCGUCAGUCUGGAGAAGACAAUUUCUUCAGAGAUCAUUGUAUUUUCCUGAGCAGAACUGAUGUACUUGAAGCUUUAAUCAUGAUAGAACCCACCAUGAUAGAACUGAUGUACCUAAGCAGAUUUAUUAGAACCCACCAUACAUUUUAUUUCUAUAGAUUUAUUAGAACCCACCAUGAUAGAACUGACGUACCCGAGCAGACAAUGAGAGAGAUCUUGUCAUCUCUUCUCCUGGCACGAAGAACUUAAUCAUGGAGUAGAUUGAAGGUACACAAUUUCAGAUUUGUACGUGCAGAGGUGCGCUUAGUAACGACAGUUCUUGGCUUCAUUUACCGGAACAUCGUUAGGUCCUUACAUGAUCCUUAUUUGAUCAAAUUGCUGGUUAGUACUUUUACAGGAACAUGGAAACCAAAAUAUGUGCUCUGUAUCCAUUCUUAUCAUGUGUGUGCUCUCAAAAUCAAGCUUCAUGCUACAACGGCCAAUAUAACUUAAACCAACAAUCAUCUAAAGUUCUGAAGAUGCCUCACCAUGCAAUAUGUGUAGCUAACUGAAGAUAAAUUAAUGAUUUAUGUUCAUGUAUCCUUUUAAUACUGGUUCUUUUUUUCUGUUCAUGUUAUGCAAGCUGGAUUCAGCAGUUUUCUAUGGCUAAAAGUCAAUUGACAUGUCAAUAUACGCGAGCAUGUCUUUGCGUUUAGGAGUUGAGAAGACUUUGAGUGCACGCCAAGGGAAAGGUGAAUCAGUUGAUGUAGGUGAAUUUUCUUGAAAUGAAAGUGUGGCUUCUUAAAUACCAAGCUUAUAUGGAAGUGNNNNNNNNNNNNNNNNNNNNNNNNNNNNNNNNNNNNNNNNNNNNNNNNNNNNNNNNNNNNNNNNNNNNNNNNNNNNNNNNNNNNNNNNNNNNNNNNNNNNAUGAUGUGUCUGAACGUCAUAGCCACGCACUAUUUGGUAUGGUGCAUACUAUGAUGUCUCUUAUCGAAUUACCACUAUCGUGUAUGGGUUAUGCAUUAGAGACAACCGCACUUACUUUAAAUAGGGCACCGCGUAUUUCUGUUGAGAUGACACAGUAUAGAAUGAGGUUUAGAGAAAUCUAAACUGUUGUUUCUUGAAAGUUUGGGGCUUCGACACCUAUGUGAAAAAGUUUCAGUCUGAUAAGCUCGAACCCAAAGCGGAUAAAUGCAUCUUCAUAGGAUAUCCAAAACAGUUGGGUACAUCUCCUAUCUCACAUCGAAAGCAAAACAAAACAGUUGGGUACAUCUCCUAUCUCAGAUCCGAAAGCAAAGUGUUUGUUUCUAGAAACGGAUCCUUUCUCGAGGAAAGGUUUCUCUCGAAAGAAUUGAGUGGGAGAGUGGUAGAACUUGAUGAGGUUAUUGAACCAUCACUUCAACCAGUGUGUAGCAGGGCGCAGGAAGUUGUUCCUGUGGCACCUACACCAAUUGAAGUGGAAGCUGAUGAUGGUGAUCAUCAAGCAUCAGAUCAAGUUACUACAAGCCUCGUAGGUUGACAAGGUCACGUACUACUACAGAGUGGUACGGUAACCAUGUCUUGGAGGUCAUGUUGUUGAGCAACAGUGAACCUACGAGUUAUGGAGAACGCGAUGGUGGGCCCAGAUUCCGACAAAUGGGUGGAAGCCAUGAAAUCCGAGAGAGGAUCCAUGUAUGAAAACAAAGUGUAGACUUUGGAAGAACUACUUGAUGGUGAGAGGACUAUUGAGUAAAGAUGGGUCUUUAAAAGAAAGACAGACGAUGAUGGUGAUAAAUCACUAUUAAGAAAAGCUCGACUUGUCGCAAAGAUGUUUCCGACAAGAUCAAACUGUUGACUAUGAUGAGUCUUUCUCACUCGUAGCGAUGCUAAAGGUCUGUUAGAAUUAUGUUAGUUGUUGAUGCAUUAUUUAUGAAAUAUUGCACAUCGGAUGUCAAAACAUUGUUUUCUCAACGGUUUCUUUGAGCAAACAUUGUAUGUGAUACAACCAGAAGGUUUUGUCGAUCCUNNNNNNNNNNNNNNNNNNNNNNNNNNNNNNNNNNNNNNNNNNNNNNNNNNNNNNNNNNNNNNNNNNNNNNNNNNNNNNNNNNNNNNNNNNNNNNNNNNNNUGUGUACUUUACUAGUACUCCUAGUAGCACGAGGGUAUUGGAUACCGAUUCGGUUGCUAAGUGAUUAGUGACGCGAAAUGAAAGCUACGGCAUAAACGGAUACUAGCUAGAGGCGAGGUGACGAUACGUGUUGGAAGUGUUUCCAAGAUUGAUAUGAUCAAACGUCGCACGCUCCCUCUACCAUCGGGAUUGGUGUUAAACCUAAAUAAUUGUUAUUUGGUGCUUACAUUAAGCAUGAACAUGAUUGGAUCGUGUUUAUUGCAAUACGAUUAUUCAUUUAAAGAGAAUAAUGGUUACUCUAUUUGCUUGAAUAAUCACCUUCAAUGGUUUAUUGAAUCUCGAUCGUAGUGUUACACAUGUUCAUGAUAUUGGUGCCAAAAGAUACAAGUUGAUGAUGAUAGUACCACUUACUUGUGGCACUGCCGCUUGAGUCAUGUUAGUAUAAAUUGCAUGAAGAGGCUCCAUGCUGAUGGAUCUUUGUACUCACCUGAUUUCGAAUCACUAGUGACAUGCGAAUCAUACCACAUGAGCAAGGCCUUGUUUUCAUUGAGAUGAAAUAAGAUAGUAACUUGUUGGAAGUGAUACAUUUUGAUGUAUGCAGUCCAAUGGGUGCUGAGGCACGCAGUGGAUAUCAUUAUGUUCUUACUUCACUGACGAUUUGAGUAGAUACAGGAGUAUUUACUUAAUGAAUCACAAGUCUAAAAUGUUGAAAAGUUCAAUUCCGUUUCAGAGUGAAGUUCGUCGUAACAAGAGGAUAAACUGUCUACGAUAUGAUCAUGGAAAUGAAUAUCCGAGUUACGAGUUUUGGUACACAGUUAAGACAAUGUGGAAAUUGUUUCGCAGUUCAUGCCACCUGGAACAUCAUAGUGUGAUGAUGUGUCUGAACGUCAUAGCCACGCACUAUUUGGUAUGGUGCAUGCUAUGAUGUCUCUUAUCGAAUUACCACUAUCGUGUAUGGGUUAUGCAUUAGAGACAACCGCAUUCACUUUAAANNNNNNNNNNNNNNNNNNNNNNNNNNNNNNNNNNNNNNNNNNNNNNNNNNNNNNNNNNNNNNNNNNNNNNNNNNNNNNNNNNNNNNNNNNNNNNNNNNNNUUUAAUUCAAAAUUCCUAUUUUUAGUAUGCAAAUUUUUUUGUAAUUCUAAAUUAUUUAAAUUAUAAAUAAAAAAAAGUGGAACAGAAAAUUUUAAAUAAAAAAAACUAUCAAAACAGGCAUUAGCUAUUUUUAAAAUUUUAGGACAUUUUUUAAAUGCAUUAACAUAUUUUGAAUUAGAAAGCAUUUUCUUAAAUGCCUUUAAUAAUUUUUAAUACAUGGAAUUGUAUUUGAGAUCAUGGACUUUUUUAUUGUACACACAUUUUUCUAAAAUUGCAAACAUUUUAUUGUAUAUGCUAGCAUUUUUUACAAAACUCCGAGCAGUUUUUGAAGUUACAAACAUUUUAAUUUUUAAAAUAUGUUGAUUUAUAAUUUUCAGUUUAUUAAAAUUUUAAAGAUUAUUUGAAGUUCUAAAUUACUUAAAAUAAAAUAAUAAAACGGAAUUGAAAAUAAAUAAAUAAACAAAACUAAAAGCAGGCGCCUGUGCAUGGGCCGGCCCAUACGGUGUGUUGGAUAUUCUCCCAGCGUGCUGAGCAUAAUAUAGGAUGUUUUUACAUGGGCUGGCCCGGUUCAAGACUUUUCGCUUUGUGAAACGUUUUCUAUUACUUACCAGUGGCAUGGUGGGUAAUUUAUGCAAACUUUAGGGGUAAUUUUCAAAACGGACGACCAGAAACCGUAUUUGCUUUAUUAUUAGGGAAAGNNNNNNNNNNNNNNNNNNNNNNNNNNNNNNNNNNNNNNNNNNNNNNNNNNNNNNNNNNNNNNNNNNNNNNNNNNNNNNNNNNNNNNNNNNNNNNNNNNNNAUCAUCAUUAACUUCCUCCUCAACCGGCGUCGCAACGACAGAGGUUUCCCCUUGCCCUGCGCCACCAUCCAGAGGGAUGAGAGGUUCGACAACCUCGUCAAGUUCUAUCUUCCUCCCACUCAAUUCUCUCGAGAGAAACUCCUUCUCGAGAAAAGUUCCGUUCUUAGCAACAAACACUUUGCCCUCGGAUUUGAGAUAGAAGGUGUACCCAACUGUCUCUCUUGGGUAACCUAUGAAGACGCACUUUUCCGCUUUGGGUUCCAGCUUUUCAGGCUGAAGCUUUUUGACAUAAGCAUCACAUCCCCAAACUUUAAGAAACGACAACUUUGGCCUUUUGCCAUACCACAGUUCGUAUGGUGUCGUCUCAAUGGAUUUCGAUGGUGCCCUAUUUAAAGUGAAUGCAGCUGUUUCUAAUGCAUAACCCCAAAAUGAUAAUGGCAAAUCAGUAAGAGACAUCAUAGAUCGCACCAUCUCUAACAAAGUACGAUUACGACGUUCGGACACACCAUUACGCUGUGGUGUUCCAGGCGGUGUUAACCGCGAAACAAUUCCACAUUGUCGUAAGUGAGUACCAAACUCGAAACUCAGAUAUUCACCCCCACGAUCAGACCGUAGGAACUUGAUCUUCUUGUCAUGAUGAUUUUCCACUUCACUCUGAAACUCCUUGAACUUUUCGAAUGUUUCAGACUUGUGCUUCAUCAAGUAGACAUAACCAUAUCUACUUAAAUCAUCAGUGAAGGUGAGAAAAUAACGAUAUCCGCCACGUGCCUCUACGCUCAUUGGACCACACACAUCGGUAUGUAUGAUUUCCAAUAAGUCACUUGCACGCUCCAUUGUUCCGGAGAACAGAGUUUUAGUCAUCUUGCCCAUGAGGCAUGGUUUGCACGUGUCAAGUGAAUCAAAGUCAAGUGACUCCAAAAGUCCAUCAGCAUGGAGUUUCUUCAUGCGCUUUACACCAAUAUGACUUAAGCGGCAGUGCCACAAAAAUAUGGCGCUAUCAUUGUUUACUCUAACUCUUUUGGUCUCAAUGUUAUGUAUAUGUGUAUCGCUAUCAAGAUUCAAUAUGAACAAUCCUCUCACAUUCGGUGCAUGACCAUAAAAGAUGUUACUCAUAGAAAUAGAACAACCAUUAUUCUCAGACUUAAAAGAGUAACCGUCUCGCAAUAAACAAGAUCCAGAUAUAAUGUUCAUGCUCAACGCAGGCACUAAAUAACAAUGACUUAAGUUCAUCACUAAUCCCGAUGGUAGCUGAAGUGACACUGUGCCGACAGCGAUUGCAUCAACCUUGGAACCGUUUCCUACGCGCAUCGUCACUUCAUCUUUCGCCAGCCUUCGACUAUUCCGCAGUUCCUGUUUCGAGUUGCAAAUAUGAGCAACAGAACCGGUAUCGAAUACCCAGGCACUACUACGAGAGCCGGUUAAGUACACAUCAAUAAUAUGUAUAUCAAAUAUACCUGAUUUUUCUUUGCCCGCCUUCUUAUCUGCCAGAUACUUGGGGCAAUUGCGCUUCCAGUGACCCAUACCCUUGCAAUAGAAGCACUCCGUUUCAGGCUUAGGUCUAGCCUUGGGUUUCUUCGGCGGAUUGGCAACAGGCUUGCCGCUCUUCUUCGAAUUUCCCUUCUUGCCUUUGCCGUUUCUCUUGAAACUAGUGGUCUUGCUCACCAUCAACACUUGAUGUUCUUUACGGAGUUCAGACUCUGCGACUUUCAGCAUCGCAAACAACUCGCCGGGAGACUUGUUCAUCCCUUGCAUGUUGUAGUUCAACACAAAGCCUUUAUAGCUUGGCGGCAGUGAUUGAAGGAUUCUGUCAGUGACAGCUUCUUGCGGGAGUUCAAUCCCCAGCUCAGCUAGACGGUUUGAGUACCCAGACAUUUUGAGUACAUGUUCACUGACAGACGAGUUUUCCUCCAUCUUGCAAGCAUAGAAUUUAUCGGAGGUCUCAUACCUCUCGAUCCGGGCGUUCUUCUGAAAGAUAAACUUCAACUCUUGGAACAUCUCAAAUGCUCCAUGACGCUCAAAGCGACGUUGAAGUCCCGGUUCUAAGCCAUACAAGACUGCACAUUGAACUAUUGAGUAGUCCUCCUUACGUGCUAACCAAACGUUCUUAACAUCCUGAUCAGCCGUAGCGGGUGGUUCAUUUCCUAGCGCAGCAUCAAGGACAUAAUCCUUCUUCCCAGCUUGUAAGAUUAGCCUAAGAUUACGAGCCCAGUCUACAAAGUUGCUUCCAUCAUCUUUCAACUUAGCUUUCUCUAGGAACGUAUUAAAAUUCAGGGUGACUGUUGCGUGAGCCAUGAUCUACAACACAAACAUAUUCAAAGUGGACUUAGACUAUGUUCAAGAUAAUUAGAGUUCAACUUAAUCAAAUUAUGUGCUAAACUCCCACUCAAAAAGUACAUCUCUCUAGUCAUUUGAGUGGUUCAUGAUCCACCUACACUAUCCCAAGUCCGAUCAUCACGUGAGUCGAGAGUAGUUUCAGUGGUAAGCAUCCCUAUGCUAAUCAUAUCAACUAUAUGAUUCAUGAUCGACCUUUCGGUCUCAUGUGUUCCGAGGCCAUGUCUGCACAUGCUAGGCUCGUCAAGCUUAACCCGAGUGUUCUGCGUGCGCAACUGUUUUGCACCCGUUGUAUGUGAACGUUGAGUCUAUCACACCCGAUCAUCACGUGGUGUCUCGAAACGACGAACUGUAGCAACGGUGCACAGUCGGGGAGAACACAAUUUCGUCUUGAAAUUUUAGUGAGAGAUCACCUCAUAAUGCUACCGUCGUUCUAAGCAAAACAAGGUGCAUAGAAGGAUUAACAUCACAUGCAAUUCAUUAAGUGACAUGAUAUGGCAUCAUCACGUGCUUCUUGAUCUCCAUCACCAAAGCACCGGCACGAUCUUCUUGUCACCGGCGCCACACCAUGAUCAUCCAUCAACGUGUUUCCAUCGUGGUUGUCGUGCUACUUAUGCUAUCACUACUAAAGCUACAUCCUAGCAAAAUAGUAAACGCAUCUUCAAGCACAAACGUUAGUAUAAAGACAACCCUAUGGCUCCUGCCGGUUGCCGUACCAUCGACGUGCAAGUCGAUAUUAUCUAUUACAACAUGAUCAUCUCAUACAUCCAAUAUAUCACAUCACAUCGUUGGCCAUAUCACAUCACAAGCAUACCCUGCAAAAACAAGUUAGACGUCCUCUAAUUUUGUUGUUGCAUGUUUUACGUGGUGACCAUGGGUAUCUAGUAGGAUCGCAUCUUACUUACGCAAACACCACAACGGACAUAUAUGAGUUGCUAUUUAACCUCAUCCAAGGACCUCCUCGGUCAAAUCCGAUUCAACUAAAGUUGGAGAAACCGUCACUUUCCAGUCAUCUUUGAGCAAAGGGGGUUACUCGUAACGAUGAAACCAGUCUCUCGUAAGCGUACGAGUAAUGUCGGUCCAAGCCGCUUCAAUCCAACAAUACCGCGGNNNNNNNNNNNNNNNNNNNNNNNNNNNNNNNNNNNNNNNNNNNNNNNNNNNNNNNNNNNNNNNNNNNNNNNNNNNNNNNNNNNNNNNNNNNNNNNNNNNNCACUCUGAUCGGCAAUGUUGUGGAAGCAGGAGGGAAGAAGAGGUGGGGAUCUCACGAGGGCUCUUAAGAGAAGGAAGGAAGAUAGCGAGAAGAUGAGAGGAGAAAUUAGACGGUCUCCUUACACCAAAUAUUGUUCAAUCGUUUGGACUUUAUUAAUCUAUCUAUAUAUACGUAUAAAGUUGAAACACAUAGCCUUUUUAUGAGAACCUAAAAAACCCGAUGUCAACUGCGUCUCAAACUUGUUUAGCACACAAAAUCCAGAUGACGAUCGAAUAACUCUAGAUGAAUAUAUGUCGUCCUUGUGAGGACGUCAGGUUUCUUGGCGAAAGAAAGAAUGUCAGUUGAAGUGAACAGAAUAAGCAUCAAAUCAGGCAAGGGGAAAUACUAAAAAGAUGCGAUUCGAGUAGCGACGGAAGCGCGUUGGUAAUCCAAAGGGAAAGGUGGCAGCCGGCCGUGGCGCAUGCAAAUCCAAAUCCAAGGAGCCACCACCACACCAUACCACCAACCCUGCUCCUGCUCCUGCUCCCACGCCACCGUCUCACGCGGGUGCCGAGCCGCCUCCUUGCCGAGAUUGGGAGAGUGUGGUGGUGUGGCCGCGUGUGCCUCUCCCUUUCGCUCUCCCCCUAGGCUUGCUCUUAUAUAUACUCCAGUACAACGCGUUUCCCAAAGCCCCAAUCCCGCAGCGCUCGGCUCCUCGAUCCCCCGCCCCCGACGACACCACCCUCCAUUGCCAUUAUUCCCCUUCCCCACACGCUACUGUACUACUGCUACUCAGCUCCACCGCCGCCACCAACGUCGCGGAAGCGCGCGAUGGCGCCGAAGCGGCCGCUGGAGGUUGUGUCGCCGGAGCAGGUGCAGGAGGGGCCGCGGUCCCCGAGGAAGCGGCUGCGCAGGACGGUGCUCGUCGUGAUGUGCCCCGCGCGGAUCUGCAUGCGCUACAGGGAGAGGAGGAGGGCGAGCGCGGCCACCGUCGAGCAGCUGGCGCAGAUGAUUCGCCGGGUGAGGCCAGGCCAUUCGUUCGAUCCCUCUCCCCGCGUUCCGGUUUUGUUCUCUUCGCUGUGCCUGUGCCUGUGCGUAGCCUACUGAUGAUGAUGAUAAGUCUGGUGGGUCGUGCGACAGGUGCAACUCGACAUCGCGAGACUUUUCAUGCUCUUCAGGGUGUUUGGUGGUGACUCCAUGUCCAUGGACAGGCUGCUAGUGCUCCUCGACCUCCCCAACAUAAUCCAGAGAUUGUUGGCGGAGCAGCUUGCUGCUCUUCAGAGGUAUAUACACAUAUCAUUUAUGUUUUGCAAGCACUCGUGUCCAUGCCAGAAUUGAGAUGCCCGAAUAUAUAUAGCUAGGAAAUGUCACAUUUCGAUUUCAGGAAACUUUAGAGUAGUAAUAAUUGAAGCCCUGGUUUGCUUUCUGGGACCUGCAUGCCAUUUUUAUCCUCUGUUUGAGAAACAAGCAUCCAUCGUUUUGCCUUUUUGAUUGAUUGAUUGAUGACAAGAUUGAUGUUGACAACAUGACGGCUCAUAUUUUUGGAAACGAAAACUUGACAAGCAUAGUAGUAGUACUAUUCCAGGUUCAGGUUGUCAGGUUAUAUUCAUCGAGUGUGAGUAAAUGAAUUAUAUAUAGAUUUGUCCUUCCUAGCUAAAUAUAUGGAAAUUGUCUCUGUGUCUAUUUAUUUAGUACUCCUGUCCUGUUAUACUUUGGAAUGUUGUGGAUGCAUGCGAUGUGAUGGAUCGAUGCUUCCUUGGUUUAAUUAUUAAUUAAUCUAUCUCCUGUUGUGUAUUGUUUUGUAUCCAACAGUUUUUUCAUGGUAUCCAUACAAGAUAUGGUUCGAUCGACACUACAGACAGCGGUUAGAAUCUGGAUCUUCAUCCGUGUAAUAUGUUUUGUAUAUCUGUACCUGCACUUUAUCUUAACUCAAUGUUGCUAUGUCAUGCAACAGAUGCAGGGACGACAGGAAGCUCUGGUUCCUAAUGUCAUUAAUGACCCUCCUAGGUACCUGCCAUUUUUUUAAUUGUAAUUGUUUUUUGAUUUAUUUCAUGAUACCUAGCGUCAAAUCAAGUAUUUGCUUUCUACAUAAUCUGGGAAGUUUCCUUUUGUUACUGUCUCACUCUCAUCUUAUUUCAAAAUAUAGGCACAUGCGACAAGGUUUUCCUGAUACUGGAGGCAACACUCGAGUCAAGCUGCGGUUUGUCGAUGUUGACAGACCAGAAAAUCCACUUUUCACUGGUUGCCCAGUAAAAUGGCAGAAUGGAGAAAACCCAAAGGUGGCGAUAUUUGAAAAUAAUACGCAAAUCACGCAGGGCGAACUUUCCAAGUUGCAAAUUGAGAUCUUAGCAGUCAAUGCUGAUUUCUUUACUGAGCAAGGACAAGAAGACUUCACCAAAGAGCAAUUCAACAAGCAAAUAUAUUUGUGUAAGGGAAAAGAUUCAGUCUUAACAACUGUUAAUCUAGCAAACGGCGAGGCCUAUAUUGGCUCCUUCUUCUUUACUGAGAGCUCCCAGAGGAAAAGGUUAAGAUUGACAGCACGAGUGAAAAAACAGGAUCUUGAUGUCAGAGUUCAAGAAGCAAUUACUGAUCCUUUUGUUGUCCAAGUCAGCCGAAAUAAAGGUGAGUAUGUCCUCUUAUCCAUUCUGAACAUCAAACCUUUUUAACUACUCCCUCCGUUCCUAAAUAUAAGUCUUUUAAGCGAUUUCAUUAAAGGUCUAUAUACGAAGCAAAAUGAUUGAAUCUAUACUCUAAAGUAUGUCUAUAUACAUCCGUAUGUAGUCCACUAGUGAAAUCUCUACAAAGACUUAUAUUUAGGAACGGAGGGAGUAUAUGGCAUUGGAAAUUUAAUACACUCUGUAAUUUGCUCAUUAAAUUAAUCAUUUAUUGCUUGCCAUAGUUGGUUGAAGAACAUGUUCGCUGAUUUGAGUAAAAACAAUGCUAAAGCACACAUCAUAUCUUUCAUACAAUUUUAUUUUACCUGAUUUGCAGUGAUAUUAUAUUAUCUGAAAAUAUGAAGUCUUAGCACUAAUUGUUCUGUCACGAAGUGCUGUUCAAAACGGCGACGCUCAGGCACCUCACCUAGGGCAUAAACCGAGGUCUAGGCAGGCCAAGCGAGAAAUUGUCGACUCCAGCGAGAGAUCAGGACAUAUUGCACUGACGGGCCAAAUGGGCCAUAUACCAAUGGACAGUAGCCGGUAGUUUACUCAUUUACAUGCCCUUAAUUAAUGGUUAUAAGCAUAUACUCCCUCCGUACCUAAAUACUUAUAGUUCUCUCCAACUACAAGUAUUUAGGUACAAAGGGAGUAAUACACAAAUACACCCUGACAGUCAAAACUGCAUGAAGUACUGCACUUGGAUUUGGGACGGCACUUUUCUUCGGUCAUUACAUAUUUUAUUUUGAGUUCUAUAUUAGGUCGUAGAUUAAUAAUGAGCAUGCUAGAUCGGUUUAUAAUUCACCAUGUACAUUAAUCCUUUCCUGAAUACCAUUAUCAUCAGAUGCAAUGGUAGCCAGAAUGAAUGAAUUGCAUAUUAGCAAUCUUGUCUUAACACAUCAAACAUUUUUGUUUACUUUCAGCAAAUAAAAAGAGUUAUCCUCCAUCUAAACAAGAGGCAGUACAUUGUUUGGAGAGAAUUGCUGCAGAUGGAAAACAUUGCCAGUACCUAGCUGGUAAAAGUAUUACUACGGUGAAGCACUUCAUGCGUCAUUAUCACAUAGAUAAAUCUAGUCUCCAAAAGGUAAAUAUACAGUUAUAAACUUGUGAUGGUAUUUCUACAGUCUUCAGUGCUUCAAAUUAUCAGCAAUAGAUAUAAUUAGUCAUUGUCAGGAAUCAGAAAUAAAAUAUCCAGCAUCUCCUAAGAAUGAUUUUGACUACAUGCUAUAUGUAUUCAUGUGCACUAUGCAUGGCAUCUGGUAGCAUUUCAUUGAUUUCUAAGAGAACUGUCUUGAUUUCUUGCAAUUAGCUUACUGACAUGAAGAACGAGAAUUGGAGUACCUUGAUUAAACAUGCCACCACGUCUGAUCCUGGGGUUGAGAUAUAUUCUUAUGGAGUUGCAGAGGAAAAUAUUGAACUUCUAUUCAAUGAUUUCUAUUAUCUUGUUGGUAUGAUGAUUGGUGGAGACUAUGUUCCUGUCAAUGAUCUUGAUCAGCUUCAGCAGGUAUACGUUUGUUCAAUUUCCAUCGCAAUUAGGCUGUUGGCAUUCACUAAAAUAAUAUUGUGCUAGCAAUUAUCUUGGAAAUGCUGUCAUGUGGUUACAAGGUACUCCCACCGUCCCAUAAUAUAAGAGCGUUUUUUACACUCUUAUAUUAUGAGACGGAGGGAGUAUAUAGCAAGAUUUACAUUUGGAAAUUGGACUGCUUCCUAAUGUCAUAGUGAAUAACUAUUGGAUAACCUAACUCUGGCAUUGCUGAACCAAAACAAGGUAAAAUGAUGUUAUUGUACGUAUAGUUAGGACCAAUGUAUGCAUUUUCUCAUGUCGAGACUCUGUUUCUGUACUGUAGAGUUUAUUUUAUCAAUAAAGAUAUGCACGCGUGAUGAAAAUGUGUUGUACUAUUACUUUUUGUUUCCAAUAUCUAAAAACCUAGAAUAAGAAAUAUAUGGAGCAGUUUGAUUGCCAACUUGCGGUGUUUCUGUGCCCGCACAGUGUAAACACAUUCGAACAUAGUGGAUUCAACAGAGGGAGGAUCUAAUCACCAUCCUAGUGCACUUAACUGAAAAUCCUUAAGAUGACCAGAGAGAAUAUAAACACUUUAUUAGCACCAAUAGAUUGCCUUCCUAUUCAAAUAUUGCUUUCCGAUGGUUUAGAAGAUUUUAUAAACAUCUGAGCAUUAGAUGCUUUGCUGUAUACUCCCUCCGUUCGUAAAUAUAAAUCUUUUUAAAGAUUUCACUAGGGGACUACAUACGGAACAAAAUUAGUGAAUCUACAAUCUAAAAUAUGUCUAUAUACAACCGUAUGUAGUCUCCUAGUAAAACCUCUAAAAAGACUUAUAUUUAGGAACGGGGGAGUACAAAUCUACAAGCAAGCAUGCACUUGCACAUUGUGACAGCGAUGACAUAAAUGAAACAUUCUGUUACAGCAUAAAGCGAACAACUGGAAAAAAUCUGCAUAUAAGAAAUUUGAAGAGCGGGAGAGCUCAGGGGGUCUUACCCCUGAUUACUUCAUGAACAAGAACAAUGGCCGCCCUGUCCCUGUCCGUGAAGUGCCUCUGAACAAUGAUGCAGGUCCUUCUGUACAAGCUAGAACUACGUGGCAAUAUCCUAAUGACAUGGCUGCACAACACGGUGAUUUUUUAUAUUUUAGUCCAUCGCUGUUGCCCUACAUGUUUCACUAAAUUCAACUUAUUGCAGAAUUUGGUGAUCAACGUCCAUUGAGUGUGUUCUCACGGGCCGCAAUCCUGUCAAACAAUGAUGCUGGUCCUUCAAACCAAGAAACACUGCUGUUUCCACAGCACACGUAUGAACAGAUUCUGCAUCAAGGUUAAUAUUAAACACCUGCAUAAUUUUGUAUCACACAUCCUCUAUACUGUAAUUGCUUCUUCAUCGCAACUUUUUGUUGUUUUUGUUGACUUCUGAUGGUUUUGGUGGUUAACUUACUGUAGGACUUGGUGAGCACGGUCCUUCUAUUCCACAGAAUGGAACUCCUUACUGUCUGCCCCAGGAAAAUAUCUUAAAUGAUCAGGGACAAUUUUCAGCACAGUCCACUAUUCCGCCCCGCAAUUUUUCACCGGUAAGUAAAGUUACCUAUGGCACAAUCAACAAUUCCAUCCUGCAAUUUUUCAUUGACAACCUGAACUCUUUCGUGGAUGCUAGGUUCCACAGGAUGACAUGAUCACAGGUGCAAGUCUAGCUGCCCAGGGAGAGGGAACCUCUUCACUUGGCCAUGUUUUUGCUGACCUUUCCAGUGGGUUUCCUUCAGAUCAAGUAUGUGUUCAUUUGAAUAAGUAUCUUUGUACUGACUUAAGUAUAUCAGUAUGUAGCAGUUAUACGGCUUUAAAUUUUUUCCUUUGUUAUGUCAUGAUGGUGUUUGUCUUGCAGUUCGGGGACUGCAACGGCCUGGAUCUGGAUAUAACUGAAUAUAUGAAGAACAAUGGCAUUGCACCAGCUAACAACGGUAUGCAAAUAUUUGAAAUUUCAAUACCCAUGGUACCACAGUGAAAAGGCGAUAAAUUUACGCGAUUUUCAAUGCCUUAGUGAUAACUUCUGUUGAUAUAAGCUCAACUGCUAAAUCAGGGAGCUUGUGUUGCAAUCAUCUUCCACAGUCAGAACUCUUUCCAUUUCAAUCUAGGAUGAUAGCAAAUUGGUAUUUACCUUCAUUAAAUCUAGAGUGUGCAUGUUUGACUGAUGACUACCAAACUGUUGAAACCCCGGCUGCUUAAAAGUUAAAUCUAGGCCUGGAUUUAAGAUCCUCCUCUUGAUCCGUGCGCUAAUGUCAUGUUUCUUUUGUUUCAGCAGACCUGUGGAACGCUAACGCCCCAUUUGAUGGUUAUGGACAUGAUGGUGGCAACCAGUGAUUGAUUAAACUUGAGACCACUGCAACAGGCUUAAUUUCCUCUACUAGACUCAUGAUGAUGGCAGUGUGUGAUUAAAUUAUUUGUGGUGAUUAAACAUUUCGUCUGUAAAUAUUGGUAGUGUUGCCAGUCCUAAUAGACAAUAUUGUUCAGCAACGUUAAAUUUGCUGUUGGUUGUAAUAGACAUUUGGCUUGUAUUCCUAAAAGCAAAUCUUUCAGAACAAGAACAUAUGUAACAUGUAUCGAAUACCUAGAGCGAAUAUUCAUAUUGAUUGACGAACUUCCGUCCGAUCCUGUUAAUCCAUCCUUAAUCCUUUUCUAAGUUGAGCAAAUAUUCGUACUGCAGAACUUGCUUGGUGUAAUCCUGUUAAUCCAUCUUCUUCCAAGUUAAGUGUUUCCUAUGGAUAUUCACACAUUGGCUGUAUGCAUCAAUUGAUGCAGAGGCCGGUGGUUUUAACCUCCUUUUCCAAAAAAAAAAGAAAAGAUGUUCACGCAUUUUCAGUCAUAGUUUGUUGUGCAUUAUGAAAUCGCUCUCAGCAAUUUGAACAUGGUAAAAAUACACAGAAGAGAAGAGGAGAGAGAACAUGAUAGUUGUACUACAAGAUUUCAGUUUCGUAAAUACCACAGAGCUUCCAUUCCUCCUACACCAAGUCCACACAGAUCGACACCACAAGCCCUCAUCCUCCGCUGCCCAUCUGCCAAAGCAAACAAGAACACACAAGACAGUUCAGGCAGGCAUGGAUGCAGAGUUCACCUGAGUUGGGAGGGACUGACUAGCCAACCAUGCAAAUGCAAGCAGGGCGGAGAAUUAGUAGCCGAUGUCGGCGCCGUCGUCGACCAAGGUCGCCGUUGAUGCCGGGGAUAGGUAUCGAUCACACGGUGUUAUGGGCCCUGGUCAAGAUCGCAGGAGGAGACGCUUCAAUCUGGCGAGAUCCCGGCUCUCGUUGCUGCUCUCUCGGAGGUGGAUCUCAUCUGGGAUAAUAUAUAUGGCAGAAUUUCCAAGGAAAUGCACGGUUGCCUUGUCGGCUGAGUGUAACUUCCAGGUCGCAACCUUUGUACGAGCAGCCGAAUGAGCAGGAACGAGUACACAUCACAUUUUAUUGACUCAUGCGUGGGUGGUGUAAACAACGGAAAUGAUUUGCGUACGACGAUGCAUGUCCGAAGCACGUACGACGAUGCAUCCGCAUCGUGAGCUAGCUAACCCGUUGAAAGACAUACGGCUUGAUUUGAUGGUCGUACGUGGUUCGGAUGAGAAUCGUCGUACGUGUAGCACUGCUCAGUCUUGGGUGGUGUAAACAAAGUCUUCUUAGGGUAUGUACAAUGGUUGAUAAGAUAGUUUUAUUUCAAGUUUUACAUGUAAUUUAUAGAUGAUAAAAAAAGUCUUACAAUGAAUCACCUCUUAAUUGUUCUCUCUUAAAUAAGAAAAGACAAAUUUUUUUUAUGAGUUAUCUUUCCUCCACCUCAUCAUUUAUCUUACAUGACACUACUAAGAUAGCAUCAUUGUACAUGUCCUUAUGUGACAGGAAAAAAAAACCAACAGCCCUACCAGGAAAUAAAACAAACGUGUGAAGCACGUGUUGUGCAUGAGAGUGAUUUUGUUUUCUUAACUCAUGCCUUUUGGUUUAUUGCACUAUCUUUCUUUUAACACGCAAGCGUUUAUAUACACGUACAUAGACUGAGCCGGCAUAUCAUGAAAUUUAUGAAUAAAUUCAGAAAUAAAUGCGAACAUCAGGAUUUAAACCCUGAUGAGCUAUGAAUAUCACAAUCUCUCUAACCAUCCAACCACAGACUGGUUCGCAUUGUACUCUUCGUCGUACUAUCUUUUCAAUGUGUUACUUGUUGUCCUUAAUAAUUAUCAUAUCUAAGAUGCCCUUUGGGUGUGUUUCGUACUAUGAAAAAGGGUCCUGCAUGGAUAGAGAGAGCGUGUGCUGACGAGACAGCAUAAAAUGUUUCACCAGUUAGUUAAUAGAGUGUCACAUAAAUAAAAUACAUAGUCCGGGUAGGAAAAAUACUCCACGAUGCUUGAGUGCCCUUGACCAAAGCCUAGCGCCCUCGAUCGCCCCAUCCUUUCCUCCCUGGCUACUACCUCAGAUCACCGCCAAUCCGCAUGACUUCCAAGGACGACAGCGGCGAAGCUCCCUCCUUGAGCAACACCUUGGUACUUGUACGCCUCUUCCUACUGAGCGACGUCGUUGUGCUCUCCGUUGGUUCCUUGGUGGUUGCGUUUUUCUGUUGCCAUUUUUGUUGGCGAUGCUCCGCCCCUCCUUUGGACGGAGCAUUGCCAGUAUAUGGACUUUUUUUUAGAAUAACUGCAUAUUUUUUAACCAGCAAAUGUUACAAACAUAGCACAUACAUAACAUCGCUGAGAGAGCACGAGAGACCAAAGGUGUCCCAACACAAAUGCAAAAAGGUCUCAAAAAGGAGAAAAUACAAUCUGAACCCCCGGGGGCCUUAAUGCAUGAAGAACCAACACCAGUCGCUGACCGCCGCCAUCGACGACGAGACGAACGGCGAAGGAGGACGCCAGAAACCAUCAAACCCUGAGCCGAGGGCACACCAUCACUGAAAAGGGCUUUCUGAGUCGAAGAUGAGCCCGGUCGCAAACGGUGAGGCAUAGCCGUUGUGGCACGUCGACCGGGGAAAGUCCCCGUGCAAAUCCUCGGCUCCAGUUUCGGCACCUCCGUUGGACGAAGUCGAAGGAGAAUUACCAGAUCUACCGCCACAAACCACCACGAGAGUGUUGAGUCACCAAGUCUCUCGCCAACAGCCGCGGUCACCGCACGGGCCGGUGACCAACGCUGGCCCGAGCACUCCUAUACAAGACUCUGUCGGCUUCCCAUCGACACUGAAGAACGUGUCGAUGUGGCAGAGACGAAGCCGAGGGAACAAAACUCCCGAUGUCCCCUGCUUGACCAAAUCCGAGCACGCCAAGCCUGUCGCCGCACACGUCGGCCAGGCCAAACCUAACCUCACCGCCCAAGACGAGCGGCAGGAAUCUACGCCGAGCAGCGCCCGAGGAAACACCACCGAGACGGAGGCGGAACCGGAGGACAAAAGGCACGAGCUGGGCAGCCGUCGCCGCCUCGUCGACCCAGCCCCACCACCCAGAUAUCGCCAGCCACGCGAAACCUGCGAGCAGACCGAAGCUCCCAGCCUUCUCGCCCACCGCAACGCAUACCACCGCGUUGGGGAGAGAGCAGGGGCACCCUUAUUAGCCGCACUCGCCAUUCCCACCGGAGAUGCGAAAACGACCAGCCACCACCAAGCUACAAAGCCUACCUAGACUACACCUGUACAAGCCAUGCCCCCGGAUCCGACGACCCCAACCUGCACCGAAGAGCAUGAAGUCCCGGGGGAGAUGGCGUCGCCGGAUCCAAAGCCGGCAAAGGAGUCGCCUCUCACUAGUGGAAAACGGGCCUUUGGCCAGGACCCUUUAGUCCCGGCCUGCCUCUGGGCCGGGACUAAAGGCCCGGCCACGUCGCCCCAAUUCUCAAUGCCUCCCUCGAGGCUUUAGUCCCGGCCCGUAAGGAGCCUUUAGUCCCGGUUCAUGUUCCAAACCGGGACUAAAGGGCUACGCGGCGGGUAGUGGUGGUGGCAACCGUUCGUAUCCCCCUUUAGUCCCGGUUGGUGGCUCAACCCGGGACUAAAUCCCUAACCCGUGCCCUGCCGUAGUGGUGGUAACCGUUGGUAUACCUCUUUAGUCCCGGUUGGUGGCUCAACCCGGGACUAAAUCCCUAACACGUGGCCUGCCGUAGUGGUGGUAACCGUUGGUAUACCUCUUUAGUCCCGGUUGGUGGCUCACCCCGGGACUAAAUCCCUAACCCGUGCCCUGCCGUAGUGGUGGUAACCGUUGGUAUACCUCUUUAGUCCCGGUUGGUGGCUCAACCCGGGACUAAAGGCCCAAACGGUUUGCAUCCCGCGUCGUUUCGGGCGAUGAAAAGCACGAACCAAAGCAGAGUCGCCAUUUCUCUGUUUCUUCUUCUCUCUCGCUCUCGCUCUGUUCUUCUCCUCUCUUCUUCCAUCAUGCCAACUCGCUUUGGAGAGGUGCUCGCACAUGGCAAGACCAAGCUCGAUGUCGUGUACACGAACGAGAGCAGGGAGAUGCCGUAUUUUCUUGAACAGUUGAAGGAACGAUGGCUUGACGCCGCAAUGGAUCAUGAGAAGUUCUUGGGGCUUGAUCUGGAGUACACGGCCGAUCAACGCGGUGUUGCCGUCAUCCAACUAUGCUUCGCACACCAUGUCUUGAUCUUCCAAUGGGCGAGGUAAGUUUUGAGGCUUUCUUUGAUCCAAGGUAAUGACAUUGUAAGUUUAUUUGUUUCAAUCAUAGUUGGUUCCCUUCAAAUAGUUGUAGUGAAACAAUUUUGAUUAGUUGAAGGGGAACACAAUCUGAUUGGAAUAGUGUUCCAUAAUCUGAAAAAUCGUAUUAGAAUCAACUAGUGUUUAAUAUGUUCCAUUGGAAUCAUAGUUGGUUCGCUUCAAAUAGUUGUAGUGAAACAAUUUUGAUUAGUUGAAGGGAACACAAUCUGAUUGGAAUAGUGUUUCACAAUCUGAAAAAUCUGAUUGGUUCAAUAUGUUCCAUUGAAAUCAUAGUUGUAGUGAUACAAUUUUAUGCGGUGUUAUUUGAUCCAAGGUUAUGAAAAUUGCAUAUAGCUAGUGAUCUCUCUAGGUUCCAUUUGAUAGCAAUAUGAUAUGUCAUAGUCAUGAAAAUUGCAUAUAGCUAGUGAUCUCUCUAGGUUCCAUUGGAUAGCUAUAGUGAUCUCUCUAGGUUCCAUUGCAUAUGUUCUAUUUGAAUCCUAAAGAUAAUUUUCUCUUUAGUUGUAGUGAAACAUGUUUCCUUAUUGCAGCAGUAUGUAACAUUUUCCAUUUUAAUUUGUUUCUGUUGCAGUAGUGACAAGCAUUGUCCAGAACUCAUGGACUUCCUGCGCAGCGGCAUCACUUUUGCUACCGUUGACAUAACGAACGACAAGCUGAAGAUGAGGUACAGCUUCGGUAUUGAGAUACCAACUGGUUGCCUCAUUGAUCUCCAAACGGUAUUCAGGCUUCGACAUGUCAGGACUUCGAUGGCUCAUAUGGCAGUUGCCUUGAUCGACGAGGAAUAUGGUGAUAUGAAGACCAAUUUUCCCAAAGUCUCAGCACAAACUUUGGGAGAAGGCCCCACUUGAUCGUAUCAACAUUGAGUAUGCAACAAAAGAUGCAUACGUUUCAUACGAGUUGUACCGCAAGAUUCGAGUCGUCAACUAUGGCCAGCGUCACCUCGAAUAAGGUGGACAUUCUGAUUCGAGUCGUCAACUAUGAAAACUAAUUCCCGAACACCAAACGAGGCAUCACGUUAAUCUUCCGAACACCUAAACCCUAAAAUCCUAAAACCCAAAAAUAAUUUCAUUCAAAAAAAACCCAAAAAUAAGCAAAAUCUAAAACUCUUUAGUCCCGGUCCGUGUAACGAGCCGGGACUAAAGGGCCUGCCCCUGAGGCGCUACGAGGCGCCCACGUGGAGCAUCUUUAGUCCCGGCUUGUAACAGGGCCGGGACUAAAGGUUAGGCGUCCCGGUUGGUGAACCGGGACUAAAGUCCCUUACGGGCCGGGGCUAAAGGCCCCGUCUCCACUAGUGUCUGGCAGUAUAUGGACUUGUGGUAACCUUUGUUAGGACUUAGGUGCUCCAUCCCUGUUCCUCACCUCUCACCUGAUUUGGACGCCCACCGGUUUGGUCUGGCCUAGUAUCUUUUUCCAGUCAUUUCUCGGUUAGAUGCGGAAGAUUUGCCGCAUGAUCUAGCGAUUGCAUCUGACGUUUUUCUUGACUGGUGAUUAAAGUUGGUCGUUAAGGUCUUGUUGAACGUACGUGUGGACCAAAAUAUGUUUUUAUCUUUGUGACAAGUACAAUGACCGCUGUUGUAUUUAUCUCUCAUCUCAACCCUCAACUAAAUUCUAUGUGAAUUCCUAGUAUCUCUUGCAAUCCCUGGUAUCCAUCAAUUGGUUCUGUCGCGCUCCUAAGUUCUCCUUCCCUCUCCGAUCAUAUAUCUCUUUAGUCGAAUCAUGGCAAGGUCAUGUCAAGACCCAAAUGUUUUUUCAAAAAGAUAGUAUAAACACACACACUCACAUCCAUGAACGCACAUACGCACGUUCUAUUCCUAUAAGCACAUUUGAAAGGCUGAGCCGGCGGAUGUUAAGAUUGACAAAGUCACAACAAACGUCACAUCACUCUAUGGACAGAAACAUUGCCUCCCAUUGAGAGUACAUUUCGCGUUUAUCACACACCAAAGCAUCAACAUUUAAUUCCUUGUGUUAGGAAUUAAUUAAAUGUAUUAAUUAAUGGAAUAAUCCAUGCGUUGCCGGUUGCCUUGAUUUAGCAACCGUUCCUUGUAACCGACUCUGUACUCGGGGUAUAAAUACCCCGCAUCUUCAAUCAAUAAUAAUUGUUCCAUCAUUCUGUCACUUUCACUGUUUUACACGUUAUCAGCACUCGCUCUGCCGAGAGCGACAGAGAGCCACGAGAAAGGUCAGAAUGGCAGGAAGAGAGUUGUCUGCACUUGCUUUUGCUUUCGCACGCUUCCUGCAGAAAGAGAACACCCGCUUCCCUCGCACUCAGCGCCACCGCAUUGCACGUCGCCAUCAGGGUCUUGGUGCAAGGAAUGGCCCUCAUCGCCGUUCCUUCACCAGGAACCACCGCCAGAACCGGAGUGGCCCUCAUCGCCGCUUCUUCGCCGGGAACCACCGCCAGAACCACCGCCGUGGGUAUGCACGUCGAGGCAACCAACCACUUCGUGGGCGUGCACCAACGGUGCACCAGGCUGGAUCCUCGACUCCGGCCACCGCUCCACUACAACAGGCUGGUGUUGUAGAUAUGCCCUAGAGGCAAUAAUAAAUUAGUUAUUAUUAUAUUUCUUAGNNNNNNNNNNNNNNNNNNNNNNNNNNNNNNNNNNNNNNNNNNNNNNNNNNNNNNNNNNNNNNNNNNNNNNNNNNNNNNNNNNNNNNNNNNNNNNNNNNNNUGGAUAAUAAACUAUUAUCUUGAUACAGGAAUUAUAAUAAUAACUAUGCAUUUAUUAUUGCCUCUAGGGCAUAAUUCCAACAGUGCCUUCUAGUUGCACUGUCUGUACCCAGACAGUUUAUAACUCUUCCGCUGGCUUGUAUUUGUAUGACUGCUAUUAUGGGUCGAGAGACCUUAAUGUGUAAUAUUAUGUGUGUGGCUCUUNNNNNNNNNNNNNNNNNNNNNNNNNNNNNCUUCCGAGCCUCUUAAAUAAAGCUUGUAUGUUUAUGGUUAUGUUGUGAUGCCAUCGAUGUAUCUAUACAUAUCGGUAUGCCAUGCGUACGUGUGUCUUACUUGGUAUGUAUGGGGUUCGAAUACCUAGUCGUGAACUUUAGUAGCACUCCUUACAAGGAAAUGCCCCUUUGUGAUCCAACGAGCCUUGGUAGUUCGCUACUGCUCCGGACACAUUGGUUGACCGGCAUGUGUCCUUCUUAGCUGCUGUGUCUGUCCCCUUUGGGGAAAUUUCACGCGAUGUAAUGGAGUCCUUGUAGCUUGCUACGACUCGUCUACAUUCGCCGAUGACCGACACCUGCUUUGUUGGGUCAUGUAUGCCUGUCCUUGUGCGGUACUGCCACUUUGGUUUAUGACUAGACAUGUCGAUCCGGGUUCUUUGACAUUGGAUUGCUAGCGACACUAUCGCAUACGUGAGUCAAAAGACGCAAACGGUCCCGGCUAAGGUAAGGCUGCAGCCGUGGAGUUAACCGUGCGUGAGACCACAAAGGGAUGCGAUGUGUUACAGGCUAGAUUCCUAUGGCUUAGGAUCGAGGUCCCGACACUUUAAAAUAUCCAUUUGUACUUAACGGUCUUACGACCAUCAAGUAGUUCUUCCAAAGUCUACACUUUGUUUUCAUACAUGGAUCCUCUCUCGGAUUUCAUGGCCUCCAGCCAUUUAUCGGAAUUCGAGCCCACCAUCGCUUCUCCAUAGCUCGUAGGUUCAUUGUUGUUCAACAACAUGACCUCCAAGACAGGGUCACCGUACCACUCUGUAGCAGUACGCGACCUUGUCGACCUACGAGGUUUGUAGUAGCUUGAUCAGAAGCUUAAUGAUCACAAUCAUUAGUUUCCACUUCAAUUUGCGUAGGCGCCACAUGAACAAAUUCCUGCGCCCUGCUACACACUAGUUGAAGUGAUGGUUCAAUAACCUCAUCAAGUUCCACCAUCCUCCCACUCAGUUCUUUCGAGAGAAACUUUUCCUCGAGAAAGGACCCGUUUCUAGAAACAAACACUUUGCUUCCGGAUCUGAGAUAGGAGGUAUACCCAACUAUUUUGGGUGUCCUAUGAAGAUGCGUUUAUCCGCUCUGGGUUCGAGCUUAUCAUGCUGAAACUUUUCCACAUGAGCAUCGCAGCCCCAAACUUUUAAGAAACGACAGCUUAGGUUUCUCCAAACCAUAGUUCAUACGGUGUCAUCUCAACGGAAUUACGUGGUACCCUAUUUAAAGUGAAUGUGGUUGUCUCUAAUGCCUAACCCAAAACGAUAGUGGUAUUUCGAUAAGAGACAUCAUAGUAUGCACCAUAUCAAAUAGGGCGCGGCUAUGACAUUCAGACAAACCAUCACACUAUGGUGUUCUAGGUGGCAUGAACUGCAAAACAAUUUCCACAUUGUCUUAACCGUGUACCAAAACUCGCAGCUCAGAUAUUCAUCUCUAUGAUCAUAUCGUAGACAGUUUAUCCUCUUGUCACGAUGAUCUUCACUCUGGAAUAGCUUUGAACUUUUCAAUAUUUCAGACUUGUGAUUCAUCAAGUAAAUACUCAUGUAUCUACUCAAAUCAUCAGUGAAGUGAGAACAUAACGAUAUCCACUGCGUGCCUUAGCACUCAUUGGACUGCACAUAUCAAAAAUCUAUUGCAUCCAACAAGUUACUUUCUUGUUCCAUGUGGUAUGAUUUUGCAUGUCUCAAGUGAGUUAAAAUCAAGUGAUUCCAAACGAUCCAUCUGCAUGGAGUUUCUUCAUGCGUUUAUACCAACAGGUAUGGUUUCCAUGUCUCAAACGUUUCAAAAAUGAGUGAGUACAAAGAUCCAUAAGCAUGGAGUUUCUUCAUGCAUUUUACACCAACAUGACUCAAGCGGCAGUGCCACAAGUAAGUGGUUCUAUCAUUAUUACUUUGUAUCUUUUGGCACCACUAUUAUGAAUAUGUGUAACACUACGAUCGAGAUUCAAUAAAUCAUUGAAGGUAAUUAUUCAAGAAAAUAGAAUAACCAUUAUUCUCUUUAAAUGAAUAAUCGUAUUGCAAUAAACACGAUCCAAUCAUGUUCAUGCUCAAAGCAAACACCAAAUAACAAUUAUUUAGGUUUAACACCAAUCCCGAUGGUAGAGGGAGCGUGCGAUGUUUUGAUCACAUCAACCUUGGAAACACUUUCAACACGUAUCGUCACCUCGCCUUUAGCUAGUCUCCGUUUAUUUCGUAGCUUUUAUUUCGAGUUACCAAUCACUUAGCAACCGAACCGGUAUCUAAUACCCUCGUGCUACUAGGAGUACUAGUAAAGUACACAUCAAUAUCAUGUAUAUCAAAUAUACUUCUGUUGACUUCGCCAGCCUACUCAUCUACCAAGUAUAUAGGGUAGCUCCGCCUCAGUGACCGUUCACCUCAUAACAAAAGCACUUAAUCUCGGGUUUGGGUUCAAUCUUGGGUUUCUUCAUUAGAGCAGCAACUGGUUUGUCGUUUCAUGAAGUAUCUCUUCUAGCCCUUGCCCUUCUUGAAACUAGUGGUUUUACUAACCAUCAACAAUUGAUGCUCCUUCUUGAUUUCUACUUUCGUAGUGUCAAACAUUGUGAAUCGCUCAAGGAUCAUCAUAUAUAUCCUUGAUAUGUUAUAGUUCAUCACGAAGCUCUAGCAGCUUGGUGGCAGUGACUUUGGAGAACCAUCACUAUCUCAUCUGGAAGAUUAACUCCCACUUGAUUCAAGCGAUUGUUAUACUGAGCACAUGCUCAACGAUUGAGCUUUUCUCCUUUACUUUGUAGACAAAGAAUCUUGUUGGAGGUCUCAUACCUUUCAACAAGGGCACGAGCAUGAAAUCUCAAUUUCAUAUCUUAGAACAUCUUUUAUGUUCCGUGACGUUUCAAAAUGUCUUCGGCGUCUUGCAUCUAAGCCAUUAAGUAUUACGCACUGAACUAUCACGUAGUCAUGAAAAAUGUGUAUGUCAGAUGUUCGCAACAUCCACAGACGACGCUUGAGGUGCAGCACACCGAGUGGUGCAUUAAGGACAUAAGCCUUCUACGCAGCAAUGAGGACAAUCCUCAGUUUUACGUACUCAGUCCGCAAAGUUACUACUAUCAUCUUUCAACUAAAUUUUCUCUAGGAACAUAUAAAAAAACAGUAGAGCUAUAGCGCAAGCUACAUCAUAAUUCGCAAAGACCUUUUGACCAUGCUCAUGAUAAUUAGUUCAAUUAAUCAUAUUACUUAAGAACUCCCACUCAAAAAAUACAUCCCUCUAGUCAUUUCAGUGGUGCAUGAUCCAAAUCCACUAACCCAAGUCCGAUCAUCACGUGAGUUGCGUAUAGUUUCAGUGGUAAACAUCUCUAUGCUAAUCAUAUCAACUAUAUGAUUCAUGCUCGACCUUUCGGUCUCUUGUGUUCCGAGGCCAUGUCUGCACAUGCUAAGCUCGUCAAGUUUAACCCGAGUGUUCCGCGUGUGCAACUGUUUUGCACCCGUUGUAUGCGAACGUUGAGUCUAUCACACCCGAUCAUCACGUGGUGUCUCGAAACGACGAACUGUCGCAACGGUGCAUAGUCGGGGAGAACACAAUUUUAUCUUGAAAUUUUAGUGAAGGAUCACGUUAUAAUGCUACCAUCGUUCUAAGAAAGAUAAGGUGCAUAAAAGGAUUAACAGCACAUGCAAUUCAUAAGUGACAUGAUAUGGCCAUGAUCUUGUGCUUCUUGAUCUCCAUCACCAAAGCACCGACAUGAUCUUCAUCGUCACCGGCACCACACCAUGAUCUCCACCAUCGUGCCGCCAUCGAGGUUGUCGUGCUAUAUACGCUAUCACUACUAAAGCUACAACCUAGCGAUAUAGUAAACGCAUAUGCAAACACAAACGUUAGUUUAAAGACAACCUUAUGGAUCCUGCCAGUUGCCGUAGCAUCGACGUGCAAGUCGAUAUUUAACUAUUACAAAAUGAUCAUCUCAUACAUCCAAUAUAUCACAUCAUGUCUUUGGCCAUAUCACAUCACAUGCAUACCCUGCAAAAACAAGUUAGACAUCCUCUAAUUUGUUGUUGCAUGUUUUACGUGGCUCCUAUGGGUAUCUAGUAUGAUCGCAUCUUACUUACGCAUAGCCACAACGGUAAUAUGCAAAUUGCUAUUUAACCUUUCUCCAAGGACCGCCUCGGUCAAAUCCGAUUCAACUAAAGUUGAAGAAACAGACACCCGCCAGUCAUCUUUAUGCAACAAGUUGCAUGUUAGUCGAUGAAACCGGUCUCUUGUAAGCGUACGAUUAAGGUUGGUUUGGGCCGCUUCAAUCCAACAAUACCGCCGAAUCGAGAAAAUACUAAGGAGGGCAGCAAAUUGAACAUCAAUGCCCACAAAAACUUGUUUGUUCUACUCGAGAUUACAUCUACGCAUGAACCUAGCUCAUGAUGCCACUAUUGGGGAACGUUUCAUGGGAAACUAAAAAAUUCCUACACACACGAAGACCUAUCAUGGUGAUGAUCAUCUACGAGAGGGAGAUCGGGUCCACAUACCCUUGUAGAUCGCUAAGUGGAAAUGUUAAGAAACGUGUAUGAUGUAGUGGUAUGUCUUCACGAUCCGUCCCACGAACCGUCUCACGAUCCGUCCCGAUCAAGUGUUGAACGGACGGCACCUCCGCGUUCCGCACACGUACAGCUCGAUGACGAUCUCCGCCUUCUUGAUCCAGCAAGAGGGGCGGAGAGGUAGAUGAGUUCUCCAGCAUGGCGAUGUGGUGGUGGUGUUGGUGGUGCUAUUCCAGCAGGGCUUCGCCUAAGCACCGCUGAAACUAGAGGAGAAACAGAUCUAGAGAGAGAGGGCAGCACGUGGCUGUUUCUGUUGUCCAAAAACCCUCAAAACCCUUAGUAUAUAUAGGAGGAGAGGAGGGAGAGGGUUGCGCCCUAGAGCAACCUUCUCUUCCCUUGCGCAAGGGAGAGGAGGAGGAGUCCUACUCCAAUCCUAUUUGGAGUAGGAUUCCUCCUUCCCACUUGGAAACUCUUUCCACCUUGUGUUUUUCCUUCUCAAACCUUAUGGGUCUUAGUGGGAACUUAUUCGAGCCCACUAGGGGAUGGUUUAUCUCUUGCCACAGCCCAUAAGGCCUCUUGGGGCGUGACACCCCUCCCGAUGGUCCCCGGCACACCUCCCGGCACUCCCGGUACACUACCGAUGAGCCCGAAACUUUUCCCGUGACCAAAACAGGACUCCCUAUAUAUCAAUCUUCAUUUCCGGACCAUUCUGGAAACCUUCGUGAUGUACGGGAUCUCAUCCGGCACUCUGAACAACCUUCGGUCACCAACACAUAUAACUUAACUAUACCGAAACAUCACCGAACUUUAAGUGUGUAGACCCUGCGGGUUCGAGAACUAUGUAGACAUGACCUGAGACACUCUUCGGUCAAUAACCAACGGCGGGACCUCGAUGUUCAUAUUGGCUCCUACAUAUUCUACGAAUAUCUCUAUCGGUUGAACCUCUAUGUCAAGGAUUAAUAUAAUCCCGUAUACUAUUCCCUUUGUCCUUCGGUAUGUUACUUGCCCGAGAUUCGAUCGUUGGUAUCUCCAUACCGAGUUCAAUCUCGUUACCGGCAAGUCUCUUUACUCGUUCCAUAAUACAAGAUCUCGUGACUAACUCCUUAGUCAUAUUGCUUGCAAGGCUUGUUGUGAUGUUGUAUUACCGAGUGGGCCCCCUAGAUACCACUCCGUCACAUGGAGUGACAAAUCACAGUCUUGAUCCAUGCCAACCUAAUAGACACCUUUGGAGAUACGUGUAGAGCACCUUUAUGGUCACCCAGUUAUGUUGUGACGUUUGAUACACACAAGGCAUUCCUCCGGUGUCCGGGAGUUGUGAUACGUCCAUUUUGCAUCAUGUUUUCAUGUUGAUAUUUAUUGCUUCUUGGGAUGUUAUAUUACUUGUGGUGCCAUAUUUAUGCCUUUUCGCUCUUAUUUUGCAAGGAUUAUUUGAAGAGGGAGAAUUCAGGCAGCUGGAAUUCUGGACUAGAAAAGGAGCAAAUCCUAGUCCACUAUUCUGCACAUCUCCAAAUGCCCUGAAAAUUUUCGUGGAUUUUUUCUAGAAUAUAUUAAAAAUACUGGGCGAAAGAACUACCAGAGGGGGCCACCAGGGCCCCACAAGCUUGCCCACCGCCGCCGCCCCCCUGGUGGCGCACGGCAGGCUUGUGGGCAGCCCACUGGCCCACUAGCCCCCCUCUUUUGCUAUAUGAUGCGUCCUGACCUGGAGAAAAUCAUACAGGAGCUUUUUCGUGGUUUCCCCGCCGCCACAGGGCGGAACUUGAGUAGAUCCAAUCUAGAGCUCCGGCAGGACGAUCUUGUCGGGGAAAUUUCCCUCCCGGAGGGGGGAAUCAUCACCAUCUUCAUCACCAACACUCCUCUCAGCGGAGGGGAGGCAUCUUCAUCAACAUCUUCAUCGGCACCAUCUCUUCUCCAAUCCCUAGUUCAUCUCUUGUAACCAAUCUUCGUCUCGCAACUCAGAUUAGUACUUGUAAGGUUGCUAGUAGUGUUGAUUACUCUUUGUAGUUGAUGCUUGUUGGAUUACUUGGUGGAAGAGUUUAUGUUCAGAUCCUUGAUGCUAUUCAUUACACCUCUGGUCAUGAUUAUGAUUAUAUCUUGUGAGUAGUUACUUUUGUUCCUAAGGACAUGGAAUAAGUCAUGCUGAUAAUAGUCAUGUGAAUUUGAUAUUCGUUCAGUAUUUUGAUAUGAUGUAUGUUGUUUUUCCUCUAGUGGUGUUAUGUGAACGUGGACUACAUAACACUUCACCAUAUUUGAGCCUAGAGGAAGGCAUUGUGAAGUAGUAAGUAGAUGAUGGGUUGCUGGAGUGACAGAAGCUUAAACCCCAGUUUAUGCGUUGCUUCGUGAGGGGAUGAUUUGGAUCCACUAGUUUAAUGCUAUGGUUAGACUUUGUCUUAAUUCUUCUUUUGUAGUUGCGGAUGCUUGCUAGAGAGGUUAAUCAUAAGUGGGAUGCUUGUCCAAGUAAGGUCAGUACCCAAGCGCCGGUCCACCCACAUAUCAAACUAUCAAAGUAACGAACGCGAAUCAUAUGAACAUGAUGAAACUAGCAUGACAGAAAUUCUCAUGUGUCCUCGGGAGCAUUUUUCCUCCUAUAUGACUUUGUUCAGGCUUGUCCCUUGCUACAAAAGGGAUUGGGCCACUUGCUGCACCGUUGCUACUACUUGUUAUUUGUUACUCUUUGCUUGCUACGUUUCACCUCGCUACACAAUCACUUGUUACCGCUACUUUCAGUGCUUGCAGUUAUUACCUUGCUGAAAUUCGUUUAUCACAGCCUUCUGCUCCUCGUUGGGUUCGACAAUCUUACUUAUAGAAAGGACUAUGAUUGAUCCCCUAUACUUGUGUUGGAAAUAUGCCCUAGAGGCAAUAAUAAAUUAGUUAUUAUUAUAUUUCUUUGUUCAUGAUAAUCGUUUCUUAUCCAUGCUAUAAUUGUAUUGAUUGGAAACACAGUGCAUGUGUGGAUACACAGACAAAACACAGUCCCUAGUAAGCCUCUAGUUGACUAGCUCGUUGAUCAAAGAUGGUCAAGGUUUCCUGACCAUAGGCAAGUGUUGUCACUUGAUAACGGGAUCACAUCAUUAGGAGAAUCAUGUGAUGGACUAGACCCAAACUAAUAAGACGUAGGAUGUUGAUCGUGUCAUUUUGUUGCUAUUGUUUUCUGCGUCUCAAGUAUUUGUUCCUAUGACCAUGAGAUCAUAUAACUCACUGACACCGGAGGAAUGCUUUGUGUGUAUCAAACGUUGCAACGUAACUGGGUGACUAUAAAGAUGCUCUAUAGGUAUCUCCGAAGGUGUUCGUUGAGAUAGUAUGGAUCGAGACUGGGAUUUGUCACUCCGUGUGACGGAGAGGUAUCUCGGGGCCCACUCGGUAAUACAACAUCACNNNNNNNNNNNNNNNNNNNNNNNNNNNNNNNNNNNNNNNNNNNNNNNNNNNNNNNNNNNNNNNNNNNNNNNNNNNNNNNNNNNNNNNNNNNNNNNNNNNNNNNNNNNNNNNNNNNGGUAAACGAGAUUGAAAUAGGUAUGCGGAUACUGACGAUCGAAUCUCGGGCAAGUAACAUACCGAAGUACAAAGGGAAUGACAUACGGGAUUAUAUGAAUCCUUGGCACCGAGGUUCAAACGAUAAGAUCUUCGUAGAAUAUGUAGGAUCCAAUAUGGGCAUCCAAGUCCCGCUAUUGGAUAUUGACCGAGGAGUCACUCGGGUCAUGUCUACAUAGUUCUCGAACCCGCAGGGUCUGUACACUUAAGGUUCGACGUUGUUUUAUGCGUAUUUGAGUUAUAUGGUUGGUUACCGAAUGUUGUUCGGAGUCCCGGAUGAGAUCACGGACAUCACGAGGGUUUCCGGAAUGGUCCGGAAACAAAGAUUGAUAUAUAGGAUGACCUCAUUUGAUUACCGGAAGGUUUUCGGAGUUACCGGGAAUAUACCGGGAAUGACGAAUGGGUUCCUCGGAAUGUACCAGGAAUGACGAAUGGGUUCCGGGUGUUCACCGGGGGGGCAACCCACCCCGGGGAAGCCCAUAGGCCUUGGGGGUGGCGCACCAGCCCUUAGUGGGCUGGUGGGACAGCCCAAUAAGGCCCUAUGCGCCAUAGGAAGAAAAUCAAAGAGAAAAAGGAAAAAAGAAAAGGGGAGGUGAGAAAAAGGGGAAGGACUCCACCUUCCAAACCUAGUUGGAUUCGGUUUGGAAGGGGAGGACUCCCCCCCUUGGCUCGACCGACCCCCAAGGCAAGGCCCCCCUCUCCCACCUAUAUAUACGGAGGUUUUAGGGUUGAUUUGAGACAACUUUGCCACGGCAGCCCGACCACAUACCACCAUGGUUUUACCUCUAGAUCGCGUUUCUGCGGAGCUCGGGUGGAGCCCUGCUGAGAUUAGAUCACCACCAAACUCCGGAGCGCCGUCAUGCUGCCCGAGAACUCAUCUACCUCUCCGUCUCUCUUGCUGGAUCAAGAAGGCCGAGAUCAUCGUCGAGCUGUACGUGUGCUGAACGCGGAGGUGCCGUCCGUUCGGCACUAGAUCGUGGGACGGAUCGCGGGACGGUUUGCGGGGCGGAUCGAGGGACGUGAGGACGUUCCACUACAUCAACCGCGUUUCUUAACGCUUCUGCUGUGCGAUCUACAAGGGUACAUAGAUCAAAUAUCCCCUCUCGUAGAUGGACAUCACCAUGAUAGGUCUUCGUGCGCGUAGGAAAAUUUUUGUUUCCCAUGCGACGUUCCCCAACAACUUGUGGGUCAUCAAGACUCUUUUCUGGCGCCGUUGCCGGGGAGUGAAGCGCCUUUGGUAAGUGGAAAUUGGUAAGGAAACAAUUUUAUACUGUGCUGAAAUUUAUUGUCACUUGUCACUAUGGAAACUCUUCCUUUGAGGAGUUUGUUCGGGGUAUCUUCACCAUGAACGGAAGCACGAGGAUUUGCUCCUCAACCUGAGGUACCUACUGAAAAUAUCUUUUAUAAAAUUCCUUUGGGUAUGCUUGAGAAAUUGCUGGCUAAUCCUUUUACAGGAGAUGGAUCUUCACAUCCAGACUUUCAUCUAAUCUAUGUAGAUGAAGUUUGUGGUUUAUUUAAGCUUGCAGGUUUGCCCGAGGAUGAGGUAAAGAAGAAACUCUUUCCUUUAUCUUUGAAGGAUAAGGCAUUGACAUGGUAUAGGCUAUGUGAUGAUACUGGAUCAUGCAGCUACAAUCGGUUGAAAUUGGAAUUUCAUCAAAAGUUCUAUCCCAUGCAUUUAGUAUAUCAUGAUCGGAACUUUAUUUAUAACUUUUGGCCUCGUGAUAGGGAAAGCAUAGCUCAAGCUUGGGGGAGGCUUAAAUCAAUGCUAUAUUCAUGCCCCAAUCAUGAGCUCUCGAGAGAAAUCAACACUCAAAACAUUUAUGCUCGGAUUUCUCAUGAAGAUCGUACCAUGCUUGAUACUUCUUGUGCCGGUUCUUUUAUGAAGAAGAAUAUUGAUCACAAGUGGAAUUUAUUGGAGAGAAUCAAACGCAACUCUGGAGAUUGGGAGCUGGAGGAAGGUAAGGACUCAGGUAUGAAUUUCUAUUUUGAUUGCGUUAAAUCUUUUGUUGAGACAAACACUUCUAGAGAGCGCUAAGUAUGGACUUGACUCUGAGAUAGUAGCUUCUCUUUGUAAAUCUUUUGCUGCUCAUGUUGAUCUUCCCAAAGAGAAGUGGUUUAAAUAUCAUCCUCCUGUAGAAAGCAACAUAGCCAAAACCAAUCUAGUUGAGGAGAAAAUCAUAGCUUUUAGUGAUCCUGUUGUUCCUUGUGCUUACACUGAGAAACCACCAUACCCUGCUAGGAUGAAGGAUUAUUCUAAAGCUCCAACUGUGAUACGUAGGGGUUACAUUAGACCACUUGCACCCCCUGAAGAGAUUAGAGUUGAACCUAGUGUUGCUAUUAUCAAAGAUCUCUUAGCCAAAGAGAUAGAUGGGCAUGUUAUCAAAUUCUGUGAGGACUCCGCUAGAAUUGCUAAACCUCACGCGAAAGACAAGCACGGACCUGUAGUUGGCCUGCCCGUUGUUUCUGUUAAGAUAGGAGAUCACUGUUACCAUGGUUUAUGUGAUAUGGGAGCUAGUGUUAGUGCAAUACCCCGUUCUCUAUAUGAUGAAAUCAAAGAUGAGAUUGCACCAGCUGAGAUAGAACCCAUUGAUGUCACUAUCACGCUAGCUAAUAGAGACACUAUAUGCCCUUUGGGAAUUGUGAGAGAUGUAGAAGUCCUGUGUGGUAAGACGAAGUAUCCUACUGAUUUCCUCGUCCUUGGUACUACACAAGAUAGCUUUUGUCCCAUCAUAUUCGGUAGACCCUUUCUCAACACUAUCAAUGCUCACAUUGAUUGCAUUAAGCAGACUGUCAUAGUAAGUUUCGAGGGUGUGUCUCAUGAAUUUAACUUCUCCAAGUUUGGAAGACAACCCCAUGAAAGAGAUUCAUCUGGUAGGGAUGAAAUCAUUGCUCUUUCCUCUAUUGCCAUACCUCCUACGAAUCCUUUAGAGCAAUAUCUGCUUGAGCAUGAAAAUGAUAUGCAUACGGAGGAGAGAGAUGAGAUAGAUAGAAUUGUCUUAGAACAAUGUCCUAUUCUCAAGAAUAAUCUGCAUGUUGAACUGCUUGGGGAUCCUCCCCCACCAAAGGGUGAUCCUGUGUUCGAGCUUAAACAGUUGCCUGAUACUCUUAAGUAUGCCUAUCUUGAUGAGAAGGAGAUAUAUCCUGUCAUUAUUAGUGCUCUCCUCUCAGAGCGUGAAGAGAAGAAGUUACUAAAAACUCUGAGGAAGCACCGCGCUGCUAUUGGAUAUACUCUUGAUGAUCUUAAGGGUAUUAGUCCUACUCUAUGUCAGCACAAGAUUAAAACCGAUCCUGACUUUAAACCAGUUGCUGAUCAUCAAAGGAGAUUAAAUCCUAAGAUGAAAGAGGUCGUUAGAAAAGAAAUAUUAAAGCUUCUGGAAGCAGGAAUCAUUUAUCCUAUUGCUCAUAGUGAUUGGGUAAGUCCAGUACAUUGCGUACCUAAGAAGGGAGGUAUCACCGUCGUUCCUAAUGAUAAGGAUGAACUAAUCCCACAAAGGAUUAUUACCGGCUAUAGAAUGGUGAUAGACUUCCGGAAACUGAACAAGGCAACCAGGAAAGAUCAUUAUCCUUUGCCGUUCAUCGACCAAAUGCUAGAAAGGCUAUCAAAGCACACACACUUUUGCUUUCUAGACGGUUAUUCAGGUUUCUCGCAAAUACCUGUUGCAUAAUUUGAUCAAGAGAAAACCACCUUCACCUGCCCUUUCGAUACCUUUGCCUAUAGAUGUAUGCCUUUUGGCUUAUGUAAUGCACCUGCCACCUUUCAAAGAUGUAUGAUGGCUAUAUUCUCUGACUUUUGUGAAAAGAUUGUCGAGGUUUUCAUGGAUGACUUCUCCAUUUACGGGUCUUCCUUUGAUGAUUGCCUCAGCAACCUUGAUCGAAUCUUACAGAGAUGCGAAUAAACCAACCUCGUCUUGAAUUGGGAGAAGUGCCACUUUAUGGUUAAUGAAGGUAUCGUCUUAGGACACAAAAUCUCUGAAAGAGGCAUUGAAGUUGAUAAGGCUAAGGUUGAUGCAAUUGAGAAAAUGCCUUGCCCCACAGAUAUCAGAGGUAUACGAAGUUUCCUAGGUCAUGCUGAUUUCUAUAGAAGGUUCAUUAAAGACUUCUCUAAGAUUUCUAGGCCUCUUACCAACCUCUUGCAGAAGGAUGUUCCUUUUGUUUUUGAUGAGGAUUGUGAGGAAGCCUUCGAAAUACUUAAGAAGGCUUUGAUAACCGCACCUAUUGUUCAACCACCUGACUGGAACUUUCCCUUUGAAAUCAUGUGUGACGCUAGUGAUUAUGCUGUUGGUGUUGUUCUAGGACAAAGAGUUGACAAGAAGUUGAAUGUCAUUCACUACGCUAGUAAAACUCUAGACAGUGCCCAAAGGAACUAUGCCACUACGGAGAAGGAAUUUUUAGCACUCGUGUUUGCAUGUGAAAAAAUCAGAUCUAACAUAGUUGACUCCAAGGUCACUAUUCACUCUGAUCAUGCUCCUAUUAAGUACCUUAUGGAGAAGAAGGACGCUAAGCCUAGGCUUAUCAGAUGGGUUCUCCUGCUACAGGAAUUUGAUUUGCACGUCAUUGACCGAAAGGGUGCUGAUAACCCUGUAGCAGAUAACUUGUCUAGGCUAGAGAAUGUCCUUGAUGACCCACUACCAAUUGAUGACAGCUUUCCUGAUGACCAAUUAAAUGUCAUCCGCACUUCACUUAGUGCACCAUGGUAUGCCGAUUAUGCAAACUAUAUCGUAGCCAAAUACAUACCACCCAGUUUCACCUAUCAACAAAAGAAGAAAUUCUUCUUUGAUUUGAGACACUACUUUUGGGAUGAUCCUCACCUUUAUAAGGAAGGAGUAGAUGGUGUUAUUAGACGUUGUGUGCCUGAACAUGAACAGGGACAGAUCCUGCAGAAGUGUCAUUCCGAAGCCUACGGAGGACACCACGCUGGAGAUAGAACUGCCCAUGAGGUAUUGCAAUCAGGUUUCUAUUGGCCCACUCUCUUCAAGGAUGCUCGUAAGUUUGUCUUGUCUUGUGACAAAUGCCCAAGGAUAGGGAACAUCAGUAAGCGUCACAAGAUGCCUAUGAACUAUUCACUUGUCAUUGAACCAUUUGAUGUCUGGGGCUUUGAUUAUAUGGGACCCUUCCCGAGUUCCAGUGGGUACACUCACAUCUUAGUUGUUGUGGAUUACGUUACUAAGUGGGUAGAAGCUAUCCCCACUAAAAAUGCUGAUCACCACAACUCUAUUAAGAUGCUUAAAGAAGUUAUAUUCCCAAGAUUUGGAGUCCCUAGAUACUUGAUGACUGAUGGCGGUUCACACUUCAUUCAUGGUGUUUUCCGCAAGAUGCUAGCUAAGUAUGAUGUCAACCAUAGAGUUGCAUCUCCUUAUCAUCCUCAGUCUAGUGGUCAAUUGGAGUUGAGUAAUAGGGAGAUCAAGUUGAUCUUACAAAAGACCGUCAAUAGAUCCCGAAAGAACUGGUCUAGCAAACUUGACGAUGCACUAUGGGCUUAUAGGACUGCUUAUAAAAAUCCCAUGGGCAUGUCACCGUAUAAAAUGGUUUACGGUAAGGCCUGUCAUUUACCUCUUGAGUUGGAACACAAAGCUUAUUGGGCAAUCAAAGAGCUCAACUUUGAUUUCAAACUUGCCAGUGAGAAGCGGUUGUUUGAUAUCAGCUUGUUGGAUGAAUGGAGAGCCCAGGCAUAUGAGAAUACCACGUCGUCAAGGAAAAGGUUAAGAGAUGGCACGACAAACGAAUACAGAAACGAGAGUUCAAUGUAGGUGAUUAUGUCUUGCUAUACAAUUCUCGUUUGAGAUUCUUUGGAGGCAAGCUUCUCUCUAAAUGGGAAGGUCCCUACGUUGUCGAGGAAGUAUAUCGUUCCGGUGCCAUCAAAAUCAAUAAUACAAGGAAAUUUUCCUAGAGUGGUAAAUGGGCAAAGAAUCAAGCAUUACAUCUCUGGUACUCCCAUAAAUGUUGAGACCAAUAUCAUCAAUGUCAUAACUCCACAGGAGUACAUAAGGGAUGUUUAUCAGCCUGUUUCAGACCUUGAAAACGAAGAUGUAUCUGUUUCGGCAAGAAAUUGGACUCCGAUACUUUUCCAAUAGGAAAUUUCCUCAGUUUUGGAAUUUUUGGAAAAUUAGAAAAAUAAAAAAGCAGUCCGGAGAGCAAACGAGGAAGCCACAAGGGCCCACUCCGCCACCACCCCCUGGUGGCGGUGGGCAAGCUUGUGGGCACCUUGUGUGCCUCCCGGACUCCGUUUUCUUGCAGAGGACUCCUUCUGGCCCAGAAAAAAUCAAUAUAUAGUUGCCCGAAGGUUUUGAUCUUCAUAUCGCGUAGUUUUCCUCUGUUUUCGUUUCGAGCUUGUUUCUGCCGCAGAUCUAGAUCAUCAUGACUUCCCCAAACGCUCCUAAGGACAAGAUCUUGGAGAAGGUCAUCAAUCCCUACCUCACGGAAGUGCUAAAACACCAUCAAUCUAUCAAGAUGAGCGAGGGGAUGUUGCACAUCCGUGAUGUUGAGGGGCCUAAGAAGACCGGAAGCAUGGAGACGAGGCUCGAAGUAGUGGAGCAACAAGUCUUCAUGUGCCAAGGGAUGGUUGAGCGUGGACUCAACGCCAACCACACGAUGAUCACGGAGUUCACUAGCAAUCACAAGAUGGAUGUCAUUGAUAUCGGGAAACACCUCUCCAGACUUUACGAUAGGGUUGACCAACUUCAGGGCCAAAUCUAUGACCUGCAGAAUCAAAACUGUGAGUAUGGGUAUAGAUUUAAAUCAAUAAGGUUGGCUGCAGAUUUGAGGAUUUCGGCUACUCGUUCAUCCUGCCAUGAUGGAGCACCUAUGCCUUGGAAGACGGAGGAUCAGACUACUCCAACAACACCACCAUCAUCACCAAAGGAAGACAACUAAGCAUUGGUAUGGGCAAUCCCCUUGGCUUCUGCCGAGCUUGGGGGAGUUGCCCUGGUAUCAUAUCACCUUUAUAUCUUUUGCUUUUACCUUUGUUUUAGUUCUUUCCCUUUCAGUUUUUAUUUCUUCUUUUAGAGGAAUAAGUCUUUAGUUUUUAGUUUGAGUCUUUUGCUUUUGGUCUCUCCCCCGAUGUAUUCGAGCUUACGAGCUAUAUAAUAAAGAGUGUCUUAGUCAAAGGGCUUUGCUUUGUGCCAUGAUCAAAAGUAUGAAAAGAACGAUAGCAUGAAAGAUCAUGAGACGAUCUUAUGGAAAGUGAUAACUUCACUUAUGACACGUAUGAUGAUUGAAACUUGUCGAGAAUAAAUCAACACAUACCUCAGUCAUUGUUGCAAUUAAUAAGAAGUAAUAAGGAAAGAGAGGUUCACAUAUAAAUAUAUCAUCUUAGACACUUUCUACAAUUGUGAGCACUCACCAAACUAUUACAUGCCUAGGAGUAGAUGUUGGACAAGGAAGACAACAUAAUGAAUUGUGUUUGCUUGGUUCCAAACAAUGUUAUAUGAUUAGAGAUCCCUUAGCAUGUGACGAUUGCUUCCACCUCAUAUUAGCCAAAACUUCCGCACCAAGUAGAGAUACUACUUGUGCAUCCAUAAACCUUCAACCCAGUUUUGCCAUGAGAGUCCACCAUACCUACCUAUGGAUUGAAUAAGAUCCUUCAAGUAAGUUGUCAUCGGUGCAAGCAAUAAAAAUUGCUCUCUAAUAUGUAUGAUCUAUUAGUGUGUGGAAAAUAAGCUUUGUACGAACCUGUGAUGAGGAAGACAUAAAAGCGACAGACUGCAUAAUAAAGUUCUUUGUCACAGGAGGCAAUAUAAAGUGACGUUCCUCCGCACUAAGAGGACACGCAUUCAAACCUCAAAAGUGCAUGACAACCUCUGCUUCCCUCUGCGAAGGGCCUAUCUUGUACCUUUACUUUUACCCUUGUAAGAGUCAUGGUGAUCAUCACCAAUUCCCUUUUUGCCUUCGUCUUGGCUACCGUCACAUGCUUGGAAAAGAUCUAUAUUCAUAUAUCAACUUGGAGUUGAGUACUCAUGCUUUAUUGUUGUUGACUUUACCCUUGAGGUAAACCGUUGGGAGGAAAAACUAUAAGCCCCCAUCUUCCUCUGUGUCGAGCUGAAGCUUUGACACCAUGAGUACCACGUGAGCUAUAAAAAUUGUGGAAAACAAAAGAGAUGAUUGAGUAUGUGGGUUUGCCUUACAAGCUCUUAUUUGACUCUUUCUGAUGUUGUGAUAAAUUGCAAUUGCUUCAAUGAUUAUGGACUAUUGUUGGUUACUUCUCGGUAAGGUUUUUGCUUCAUGCUUUGCUUUGUGAAGGAAUUGUUACUUUCCCAUAAGAAUCUUUAUAUAUAUUGUUGUUCUAUGUGUGAUCAUGAUGCCCUCAUGUCUGUAUUAUGUUUUAUCGACACCUUCGUCCCUCAACAUGUGGACGUGUUUAUGGAACUUGGUUUUCGCUUGAGGACAAGCGAGGUCUAAGCUUGGGGGAGUUGAUACGUCCAUUUUGCAUCAUGUUUUCAUGUUGAUAUUUAUUGCUUCUUGGGAUGUUAUAUUACUUGUGGUGCCAUAUUUAUGCCUUUUCGCUCUUAUUUUGCAAGGAUUAUUUGAAGAGGGAGAAUUCAGGCAGCUGGAAUUCUGGACUAGAAAAGGAGCAAAUCCUAGUCCACUAUUCUGCACAUCUCCAAAUGCCCUGAAAAUUUACGUGGAUUUUUUCUGGAAUAUAUUAAAAAUACUGGGCGAAAGAACUACUGGAGGGGGGCCACCAGGGCCCCACAAGCUUGCCCACCACCACCACCCCCUGGUGGCGCACGGUAGGCUUGUGGGCAGCCCACUAGCCCACUAGCCCCCCUCUUUUGCUAUAUGAUGCGUCCUGACCUGGAAAAAAUCAUACAGGAGCUUUUUCGUGGUUUCGCCGCCACCACGGGGCGGAACUUGAGCAGAUCCAAUCUAGAGCUCUGGCAGGACAAUCCUGCCGGGGAAAUUUCCCUCCCGGAGGGGGGAAUCGUCGCCAUCUUCAUCACCAACACUCCUCUCGUCGGAGGGGAGGCAUCUUCAUCAACAUCUUCAUCAGCACCAUCUCUUCUCCAAUCCCUAGUUCAUCUCUUGUAACCAAUCUUCAUCUCGCAACUCAAAUUGGUACUUGUAAGGUUGCUAGUAGUGUUGAUUACUCUUUGUACUUGAUGCUUGUUGGAUUACUUGGUGGAAGAUUUUAUGUUCAGAUCCUUGAUGCUAUUCAUUACACCUCUGGUCAUGAUUAUGAUUAUGUCUUGUGAGUAGUUACUUUUGUUCCUGAGGACAUGGAAUAAGUCAUGCUGAUAAUAGUCAUGUGAAUUUGAUAUUCGUUCGGUAUUUUGAUAUGAUGUAUGUUGUUUUUCCUCUAGUGGUGUUAUGUGAAUGUCAACUACAUAACACUUCACCAUAUUUGGGUCUAGAGGAAGGCAUUGGAAAGUAGUAAGUAGAUGAUGGGUUGCUGGAGUGACAGAAGCUUGAACCCCAGUUUAUGCGCUACUUCGUGAGGGGUUGAUUUGGAUCCACUAGUUUAAUGCUAUGGUUAGACUUUGUCUUAAUUCUUCUUUUGUAGUUGCGGAUGCUUGCGAGAUAGGUUAAUCAUAAGUGGGAUGCUUGUCCAAGUAAGGGCAGUACCCAAGUGCCGGUCCACCCACAUAUCAAACUAUCAAAGUAACGAAUGCGAAUCAUAUGAACAUGAUGAAACUAGUAUGACAGAAAUUCCCGUGUGUCCUCGGGAGCGUUUUCCUCCUAUAAGACUUUGUUCAGGCUUGUCCCUUGCUACAAAAGGGAUUGGGCCACUUGCUGCACCGUUGCUACUACUUGUUACUUGUUACUCUUUGCUUGCUACGUUUCACCUCGCUACACAAUCACUUGUUACCGCUACUUUCAGUGCUUGCAGUUAUUACCUUGCUGAAAUCCGUUUAUCAGAGCCUUUUGCUCCUCGUUGGGUUCGACACUCUUACUUAUCGAAAUGACUACGAUUGAUCCCCUAUACUUGUGGGUCAUCAAGUUGCGUGAUCACAUGGUCAUAGGAACAGAAACAUUGACAUGCAGAAAAAUAGUAGCAAUAAACUGACACGAUCAUAUGCUACAUUUAUAGUUCGGUUCUUGUCCAUCACAUCAUUCUCCCAAUGAUGUGAUCCCGUCAUCAAGUGACAACACUUGCCUAUGGCCAGGAAACCUUGACCAUCUUUGAUCAACGAGCUAGUCAACUAGAGGCUCACUAGGGACAGUGGGUUGUCUAUGUAUCCACACAUGUAUUUGAGUUUCCAAUCAAUACAAUUCUAGCAUGGAUAAAUAAAUGAUUAUUACGAACAAGGAAAUAUAAUAAUAACCAAUUUAUUAUUGCCUCUAGGGCAUAUUUCCAACAAUUUCUAUGUAAAAGGUGCGGAUAGUACCUCAUUCUCGUCUAUCCCAAGCUGAGGUAUGUCACCGACCCUAUGCUCAUCCAUGCAUACAAAAUUAUCCACUGGAGCCCUGAAUAAUUUUUUAUAGUAUUCAAAGAUAUAUUGUUUGAGAUUCUCAUGUCCCACAAUUGUACCCUCAUCUUGUUCUAGCUGGAUAAUUUUUUUAUUCCUAUGCUUUCCAUUAGCUAUUAGAUGGAAAUGUUGUGUGUUGUCAUCUCCUUGUACCACUUGGAGGACUUUCGCUCUUAGUGCCCACUUCAACUCCUCCUCUCUGAGUAGUUGUUUGAGCUUUAGUUCAGCCUCCAUUUUUCAAUGACCUCUCAUUGUCACCUAAUAACGUUUGUUCGGCUUUUAUGUCUAGUGUGUUUAUAAGUUUAUAAGUUCGACAAGCCUUUGUUUCUUUUUCUUAUAAAUUACACUAUCGUGCUUUUCCCAACCCCUUAAGAAUUGCCUCAGGUGUCUUAUCUUAUUUUGCCACCUGUCAACAUUCGAGUCACCUUCUGUGAAAUAGCCCAUUCUCAAACCCGUCCCUUUCAAACCAUCCCAAUUCGAAAGAAAAAAGGUUUUUAUUUCCCACAUGUGUUGCUUCUCGCGAGUCUACAAACAGUGGGGUAUGAUCAGAGAUAGCUCUUGGUAACUCUCAAACUGUGACGAGAGGGAAUUUCUGCUCCCAUUCCACACUCAUGAGAACCCGGUCCAACUUCUCAAAAGUUGGGUUAGGUAAAGAGUUUGCCCAAGUAAACUUUCUCCCUGAUAGCUCAAUCUCCCACAAAUUAAGGCUCUCGAUGAUUGAAUUAAACAUAAAUGACCAUCUUCCAUCAAAGUUAUCACUGUUUUUCUCAUCCUGCCUCCAGAUUAUAUUAAAAUCGCCCCCUACUAAAAUCGGCAGUCUCUCGUCCCCGCAGAUUCGGACAAGGUCAGCCAAGAAAUCUCUCUUGAACUCAGGCUGGGCCGCCCCAUGCACAUCUACGAGUGCCCAUUGGAACCCGUCAUCUUUGGAGCGAACUCAAAAUUUGACUGCAAAGUCUCCAUACACCACUUUCGUAGUUGUGGUGUCUCGCACCGAACCCCAAGCAAGAUCCCACCUGAUCUUCCUCUUGGAGGUAGACAAUGCCAGUCAAAUUCAGAACCUCCAUACAACGUGUUUAAAAACGAAGCUAUAUAGUUAUCUCUCCCAGUUUCCAUCAAUGCAACGAAAUCCAAUUUGUGCUCAAUAGUUGUUUCAGCUAGGAAUCUUCUUUUAGCCAAGUCUGCUAGACCUCUGCUAUUCCAAAAUGUUCCUUUCAUCGCUCAUCAUGAAAUUUCUUAGCCGUUUUAAAUCUAGCACUACGACGCACAGCUGAAACAGGAUAGACUUUUCUCUUCCAGGUUCUUUUUGGCCUAUCCUGAACCUCCGACCGAUCCACAUAACCGUUGGACUCUUGUGCGUUAGCAUUCGUUUGUGGAGGAGCCUCAUACCCCUCCUGAACGAUAUCAUUUGUGUCUUCAAGCAAAAGGGGGGUGGCACAAGAUCCUCACAUAAACGCUCUAAGGCUCCCAAACCCAAUGCAUUUAUAUCAGAAUCAUUCAUAGGUUUUACGGCUGCAAUUUUUCUGACCAUCUCAAUUGCCCUCUCUGCCUCUAAGUCUAACAUGUCAUUUACCGAUCUAGAUAUCUCCUGGUCUACCAAACGCUAGAAUAAGGCCUAGUAACGGGCCCGACCCAUGCCAUUUUGGCCCAUGACUGCAACCAAACACACCCUUAAGUAACUUCUACAAUAUCCAUCCCCAACUUCCAGAAAUUCUAACACUUAAAAAAUCAAAAUCAAACUAUUGGCAUUUAAAACUUUCAUACAUUUCAUUUCUGAAAAAAAUGGUCUUUUAGAUUUCGAAAUAUCAGUAUUAUAUUUUUUACAAAAUUUAACUUUAAGAAUUUUCAAAAUUAUAAGGAUUCAAAAUUCAAAUGUUUUAGCACUUAAAAAAAUUCAAACUUUAAAAAAAUUGAACUUUCAAAUGUUUUGAAUUUUAAGAAGUGUGAACUUUCAUUUUUUUAUAAAGGAUGGGUUUUAUUUACUCAAAAUAAAGCAUCAAGAGCAUACAAAUACAAUAAGAACACACCCGGCCACUUUAUAACUAGGAUGCACACAACCAACUCAAACUCACACACACAAAAAUACGAUCGGUAAAUAGCAAAGUCAUAUAAGACCAAAGCUAUGUGCGCGGUUGGAAAAAGAAACCAAAGCGACCAUAUUGGCAAUGGACAAACUACAACAAUGACCAUAUCUGCACCAACAAUUUCAUUACACCACACGGACAACGAGGUUCCUCAACAAUGACACCUUCAGAAAGGGAGCGACGCUCAAAUGCCGCUAUCAUCGGAUCCAACCAUCCAAGGUCAGAUGCAAGAUUUUCACUCUGAGAAUCAGUCCAAGCAUGUCCGAGCAAUUCCUUCAAUAAGGUAAUGGCGUAAAAACAUCGCCAUUGCCAGGUACAGCCAACUCGAGUUGGACCUAGGCUUUCACCCGGGAGCUCAAGACCGGGUGCUCGAGAAGCACCACCAUCGAAGUCACUAUGUGUUGUUGCCACUACUUUUCCACAAUCUCAGUAGCUAUAUGCGAUGUGUGACCGCUGAUGCUGCACAACCAUCCCUCUACAUCAAGCCAUCAUCAAUAGUUUCAAUCUCACCGUUGAAGUCAACCAUCGGAUCUCCAAGAUCAAUCAUGAAGACCUUUUGAUGGAUACUACAUCAAUCCGCCGCGAGACCGCCACCGUAGUCAUGGUGGUCACCACACGUUCGUCGUCACGCCCCUAGCAGACCUAAAGGUCCACACCAAGGAACCACGGGUCCACACGCAUGGAGCCAUGGAUGUGUGUGUGGAUCAUGAAACGACCAAUCCAUGGCCAUGGCCAUUAGAUGAGACUAUCCCUGGCUGAUGGCAGGUGUCCAAGCCCUGCCGACAUGGCCACUACACCAUGGGCGCCAUCCCACAUGAAGGAGCCACCAGGCGGAGCAGCGACCACAAGUGAGGCGAGAUCUACACCAGCAAUGGCUGGAUCAUCCAGGUAACUGUCCGCUGGAUCUGUGGUGACAUCGUUGGAGGAAGCACGGGGUAGAGAGUGUGAAUCUGGGUUGGGGGAGAGGGGAAGGUCGGGGAAGAAGAUCCCUGUGGCGGUUGAGUCCCGCCGCCGCUGACAAACUGUCAUCGAUGAUGACGACGAGGAUGGAACAUCGGAGGCGGCCUCGAGUGCUAGGGUUUCUCGCCCCCGGUGUCGCCCUGGAGCAACACGGGAGGCCGAUGGCGAUUUCAUAGGAGAGAGAGAGAGAAGGUUGAGAAAUAGAAUCACAUGGUUGGGCAUGUGAGGAAAGAGAGAGAUGGAAAGAAGCACAUGGAUGAGGCCCCCUCGUCCUAUCUACCACAUGGUAACCUGACACAGUCACAUGCAAUGCUUGCGGCAAUGACCAUGGGCACAGUUCCCACAAGAGAGCAUUCUUAGAGUAAUAGCGAGUCUCAUCCUCAUGUUGGAUGCCUAUAUAAAGCUUCUCCUUUCCAACAUUCAUCAUACGAAUUGGCCAAAAUUUCUUUCUCAUUUGUGAUCUUUCAUCACAUUCAACUUUCCUUUGUAUAUAUUGUUGCUAAGCUUCAAAUUCUAAUCAGCUGGAGCUAAGCAAUGAAUUCUUCAUGCCAUCGAGCAUUCCUCGUGAGGAACAUCUUUUGUACUUUGGAAUGAGUGGUAUCGAGAAAUUAGUCAGGACGACUUUCUGAGGCUGAGGCGCCGCUUUUUUCUGUUCUCGUCUCUGAGACGUUGAGGUGGUAGACAUUUAUGAUAAGUGCAUUUCUUGUUGAGAAUAGCAUCGAUAAUCAUGUCUAGUCUAACAACUUGCUCAUUUAGGACUACCCUGGACAGUGCAACAAGUAAAAUACCAAAUCCUUGUACAAAAACAAGUUGUUGCCCUGUGGUGAGGAGUUGAAGCUAUGGCAUGAACUCGUCCAUGUGUGCGGUAUUUCUCCUUGUUGUUUCCAUCGUCUCUAGAAAUCGCUAAAAAGAUCAAAAACAAUAUCAAACCGUUGACACUAUGUGUCUACCAUCUCACACAAAUUCGAACCCAUAUCCAUCGCAGAUCUCCAAAAACAAACAAACAAGACGGAUCCAGUGUUGAACAGCAUAGCAACUAAUUCAAAUCAGCACAUGAACACAUCAUAUCAUCAGCACCAACACAAGAUUGUUUUUUUUUCUCUUUUCUUCAAACAAUAUCCUGAUUAAGGUUUAAAUAUUCUUGUGGCGUUGUAAAUACAUGUUGUGUGUCAGAGACAUAAUUCUUUUUCAAAUAAAAAAACAUAACUUUUUUUACCACAAAUUUUUCUAGGCUUAUGUGUGUGUAUCUUCCUUGUUUCAGUUCCAAGUGACAAGAGGCAAACUUGUCACGGUUGACUGAAUAGAACAGUAGCAAUCGACCUGCCCGGAGCUUCUAUUUUUUGUAGGUGAUUUUCUCUGUUAAGAGUGACUUCUUCUUUUUUGAGAGUUUUGUUAAGAGUGACAUGAAAUCUGCAUAUGGCGAUCGAGCACGCAUGCCGGCGAUCCCACACGGCGCACCGCAGCCACAAGCCGAUCGCCCCCACAAAAUCUGCCCGACGGCUCCCACCGGGAUGGGAUUCCCCGGUGCCAAUGGCGCGCGCCCACCUCACCCCCUCUUAUCCCCGCCUCACCCACUCGCGCCACGCCCCUUAUCCCCUCCUCUUACAAACCCACACAAACUAAUCAUCGCCCACCACCCUCCAACGAUCACCAACCAAAACCCCUCCACACGCCCGCCCGCGCGCGCCACGGACGCAGCAAUGGCCGCCCUCGCCGCCUCCAUCGCCACCUCCACGGCGUUCGCCGCGAAGCCGCGCCUGUCCCGCCCGCCGGCGCGCCUCUCCGUCUCCUGCUCCGCGUCCAGCGGCGACAACAACAACAGCACCGCCACCCCCUCGCUCUCCGCCUCCAUCAAGACCUUCUCGGCCGCGCUGGCGCUCUCCUCCGUGCUCCUCUCCUCCGCCGCCACCUCCCCGCCCCCCGCGGCUGCCGACAUCGCCGGCCUGACCCCGUGCAAGGAGUCCAAGGCCUUCGCCAAGCGGGAGAAGCAGUCGGUCAAGAAGCUCAACUCGUCGCUCAAGAAGUACGCGCCCGACUCCGCCCCGGCGCUCGCCAUCCAGGCCACCAUCGACAAGACCAAGCGCCGGUUCGAGAACUACGGCAAGUUCGGCCUGCUCUGCGGCUCCGACGGCCUGCCCCACCUCAUCGUCAGCGGCGACCAGCGGCACUGGGGCGAGUUCAUCACCCCCGGCGUGCUCUUCCUCUACAUCGCCGGCUGGAUCGGCUGGGUCGGACGCAGCUACCUCAUCGCCGUCAGCGGCGAGAAGAAGCCCGCCAUGAGGGAGAUCAUCAUCGACGUCGAG
rnacentral:lncRNA from 1 species